rnacentral:lncRNA from 1 species
AAAUGUGGUGGAGUGUCACUUGGUGUUGGCCUGGAACAUCGUGUAGCAGAUGGCCUUUCUGGUCUCCACUUUGUAAAUACAUGGUCUGAUAUUGCUCGAGGUCUUGACCUUACAAUUCCACCAUUCAUUGACAGGACAUUACUUCGUGCCCGAGACCCACCACAGCCUGCAUUUGAUCACAUUGAAUACCAACCUGAUCCACCCAUUAAAACUGGUACAAAAGCUGUAGGUGAUGAGAGCGCAACGGUAUCCAUUUUUAGAUUGACAAGGGAGCAGCUCAACAUCUUGAAAGCCAAGUCUAAGGAAGAUGGGAACACAAUCAACUAUACCACAUAUGAGAUAUUGGCAGGCCAUGUUUGGAGAUGUGCAUCUGUGGCACGUGAACUUCCUGAUGAUCAAGAGACCAAACUACAUAUUGCAGUUGAUGGAAGGUCCAGACUGCAACCCCCACUCCCACCUGGUUUCUUUGGCAAUGUGGUUUUUGCAGGCGCACCAAUUGCUGCAGCAGGGGAUCUCAAAUCAAAACCAACAUGGUAUGCUGCAAGCUGUAUUCAUGAUACUGUUGUGCGUAUGGACAACGAUUAUCUUAGAUCAGCACUGGACUAUCUUGAACUUCAGCCUGACCUGUCACCCCUUGUUCGCGGAGCUCAUACUUUUAGGUGCCCGAGACUUGGAAUAACUAGUUGGUCUAGGCUGCCGAUCUAUGAUGCUGAUUUCGGUUGGGGUCGACCUAUUUUCAUGGGGCCUGGUGGAAUGGGAUAUGAGGGGUUGGCUUUUGUGUUACCAAGUGCAACAAAUGAUGGAAGUUUAUCGGUGGCCAUUUCUCUGCAAUCUCAACAUAUGCAAUCAUUCUCCAAGUUGUUGUAUGAGAUAUAAGGACAUGAAAUGCGUCGAAUGGGGGCAAUACGUUGAACAGACUUCGGGCUUCUGUGUGUGUCCUCUGAGUUCUGGGACUUUUCAUUGACUCUAGCCUAGCUGAUCGGAAAGCAGCUGUUUUUGAAAAGUUCAAGUGGUCUUUUGGUUAAUCUAUAUUAGAGUAUCUGUUUUAGAAACAACCUAGUACUGAAUAAGAUUGUCAGAGUAUCUGUGAGCUUUGUUUAUUGCUGUGGAGGACUUCUUUUUCGGAGUAUCUGUAGUUUACUGUGAUUGUUAAUAAGGUUUUCUUUCUCCAUGAAACAAAAACAUACUGAAUCACUUUGGUUGCAUAAAGAUUGGUGCCUUUGGUGAAGCUACACUUUGGUUAUACUUUCAGAAAUUUUGGUUUAAUGCAAGAGCAUUUGUAGUGUUUUUAUUUCUCACUGAAAAAGGAUCAAGAGGUUCUUCUUCUGGAGACUUCAGUGUCAAGUCUGCCCCUUUGCUGAAUUUUCCCAAAUGAGAAUUCCCAGCUGUUCCUUCAUAUGGAAAUCCAAAUUGCCUCCUAAAGACAAAUGCUUUCUUCUUCAAAUAAGUAACCAAGGAACGAAGACUUAAAGAGGCGUAUGGUUUCUGAGUAGUCUAGAAGGAGAUCUUGUUACCCCCAACAACUUCAAUACUCUCAGUUUGAAUGCUGCUAUGACUGGGUUGAAGCCUCUUAGGCAUGACCCUCCUUCUCAGUUGGGUAUAUCCCCUGGAAUUUAGGCAGUUUUUCUAUGGCUUGCUGGAUGUUAUGGAGGAGGAGAUGCUGUAGGGCCUUUGGAAGGGAAUUUCAGUUGAGGCGUUUUUGUUCACCCAUUCUCAACCCUGGGACUCAGUUCAGCUACCCUUUCUGCGUUUCCUUUGUUUGGCUUUUUAUGAAGUCCAUGUAUGAGGACCAGUCCACUGAUUUUGGAGACACGGGGCAGAAAUAAAAGUUGACGCCUUUUAUAUUCAACACCCACUUCAUUUUGAACAAAAAUAAAAAUAAAAAAUUCCAUAUUUAUGUGCUAAGUUGGUUAGUUUAAGUAAAAGAUGGCCACUAUGUGAAAAAUAAAGAGAAGUGCCUAAAUCUUUUCAAAAUAAAGCUCAAAAAGCAUUCAUUAGAUGUAUAAAGAGACUUUUUUACUACUAUAAUUCUUGGCCUAAAAUGUUUUAUAGGAAUUCCAUUUUUUAAGGGGCCUUGUGCUGUCGGCCGUCCUGCACACCUUGCGGGUGGGGGCAUGCCAUGUAUUAUUCCAAACUCGUCAUUUUCGUUACUUUUUCCUACAAUUCGAUCAAUGUCAUUCCUAUCCUCUUAUGUUAUACGUAAAUAUAUGUAUAUUUUAACGUUCAAUGGUUAGAUUACCGUCAUUUUACGUCAAUUUCGUCAAUUAUAUUAAAGCCAACUCGUCUAAAGUUCUACUAUCAAAUGACGGAUAUUUACAAUUGUUUGAUUUUGAAAAUUACCGUCAUCCAUAUAACUGACAACAACUAUUGAGCCUCAUCUAUACACAAGGACUAUAGCCUAGCGCGACUUUGGGCCUAAAUGCUUUUGUUUUAGAAUCUCUAAGCCACGCCCUCUCCUUUAGUCACACGCUUUACACAAAAUUUGGUACGAAAAUACCAAAAAAAUAGAGAUAGCUUAAUUGAAAUUGGUUUAUUCAUGGAAUUCAUAUAUCAUAAAAAACAAAAACAAAAAGAAUAAUAAAUAAAACAAAUCAAAAUAUUAGCGUGCAAUAUUCUGGCAAAGAAACAAUGGAAACUCCAGUUCUGAACUUCACCAAUUCCAUCAAUCCCAUGACCUCCAUUACUCGACCCUUGCCCUCUUUCGGUAAUUUUCUUCUGCCCCAGCUCUCUAUAUUAUAUAGCAUUAAAUAUGGUGAUUCUCCGCAUCUUCAAAUUAAAGGUAGUGAUUAUAAUAUCUCUCUAAUUAAAAAUAAUUUUUAUUAGAAAUCAUCCACUUUUUAACUGUCUUAAUUUUAGUCCUCAAACUUUCAAAUUAAUAAAUAUGACCUCCAAAAUUUUGGUUCACACAUAAGUUUGGUCCGUAUCAUAUUUUGGAGAUGUGCAGGCAACGCAAGUGACCUCCCCACUACAAAAAAAAAGUGGCAACAAUUAUCAUUAUUUGGUGACAUUUGCUGGGGUGACUAAAGUUUUAGCCAUCCCAGCAAAUGUCACCAUAUAAUGGUGAUUGUUGUCACUUUUUUUUUGUAAUGUCCCCUUAAUCACCAAACUAGUUAUUGCCACUAAUGGAAGGUCAAGACUGCAACCCCCACUCCUUCCUAGUUACUUUGGCAAUGCGAUUUUCACAACAACGCCAAUUGCUGUCGCAGGGGAUUUCCAAUCAAAAUGAACAUGGUACGGAGCAAGCCACAUUCAUGAUGUUUUGGUUCAUAUGGAUGAUCAAGGUUUUAAAACGCAAGGUGUUGAGGCGAGAUGCUUUUGAUCUCGCAAGGUGAAGUGUAACCCUUUCAAACAUUAAUUAUUUUAAUUAAAAAUAUAAAAUUAUAUAAAAUAAUUAUAAACGGGUACUAAUUGUCUCCUAAGUAGAAUAAUCAAGUAUUCUAGGAGGACAAUUUAGGGUACUGCAGAUAUGAUUUCUGGUUCAACAAUUCUGUAGAUAUGAUUUCUGGUUCAACAAUUCUACUGCGUGGGAAGGGCAUAAACAGUUGCAGGAUAUUUACCCUAAAUCUCACAGAGUCUUAAAAAUAGGCUAAAGACUGUUAAAUUGCGAGCAUGCCACUAUUAGCAGUGUAAAACCCUAAUAGAUCUUAAUGAAUUAAAAUAACUUAUGCACCAAGAAACCUGACUUCCAAUCAAACAAUUGUGCUUGGAAUAGAGAACUGGUUCAAUAUGGAUUUUUUCUAUGCCUCAAGAUAAACGAGGACUUUAUUAUUUCUCUAAUACAAAGCUAAGAGAUAAAAAACAUAAACAAGUAAACAAUGUGUCAAAUCGAUCAUAUCUGGUGAGAACUAAGACUGCCAUUACCUUUGAGUUGCCUCAUAGCCACUAGAACGAGAGUAUUUUUGUUCACCACUUUAACCCAAGUUGUACCAUUAUCACCCUUCUCAACACUUGACACGUAUCUGUGGGCAUAACUAUGGUUAUGCACAUGGACAGUGGCAAAGCCAUGAAUCUUACCACAAGGGGUCUUAGUGUAAAAGUCCAAAUAAAAAUUUAGGAUGGAAAAACAUAUUGAAAAUGAAAUCAUAGUAUUUUCAUUCAUAAUUCAUAACGGAAACAAUAUUACAAGCUAUAAUUGUCCAUGACGAGGUUUCAUAUUUUGAAAACGAAGCAUUAUAGCUUCAUUUUCAAUACAAGCAAAAAUAUCUCUCUCAAUAUAAACAAGCAAGCUAUCACUCAACCAUUGAUCUCCCAUUUUGUUCCUAAGUGGACCCUUAACAAUAUUCAUGAUAGAAAAUGCUCUCUUCACUGAAGCAGUUGCAACCGGUAAAACUAAAGACAAUGUAAUGAGCAAAUACACAUAAUUGAAUACUUGAUGCAUCCUUGUUUCCACCAUUUUUUUUUUUGCAAGAUCACCAAUCCCUUCCAGUUGAGAAAAGUCACUACUAGAACGCACAUAAUGGAUAUAAAUCUCAAGUUGAUCUUCAAGUGCCAAACGAUCCUCAUCCGAAAAGUCUUAAGGAUAAAAUUGAGCAAGACGAAGUAACUUUGAUUUAUCAAAAGCUAUAAAUGAAUCUUUCGGACUCAAACAUGCCAAACAAAUUAGCAAUUCGGUAUUUACCUCAUUAAAGCGAUCCUCUAACUCCGUAAUUUUUUCAUCAAUGACAUAAAUAAAGAGCUUCACACGAUAAUGAUGACGAUUUGUCUUUAUUGGAGCAUUACGCCUUGACCUCCCUGGAAGUAUAAAUGCCUCUUCCAUGUUAGGAACAUAAAUAUGAUGUUUUUCACAAAAAGAAAAUAUUUCAUUAACCAAUGUAUCGAACCCAUUAUUCCUCAUCUAAUGUAGCUUUUCCUUGCAUGAUUUCACUAAAGUCAUUGCAUUCACAAUUUCUUGAUCUUUCCUUUGCAAUGCUUGUGACAAAUCAUUUGUGAGUCCCAAUAUGGCUUUCAUCAAGAAAAGGUGAAACACAAACUCAAAAAUACGUAUUUCUCUCAUUAACUUAUUUGCUUCACCCGCAUUUUCAUUGGGAUUAUCAUCAAUAACCAUUUGAAGCACAUGAACCACUGAUGAAAACAUAGAAAUGAUGCUAAUCAAGGUACCAUAGUAUGAGUUUCAUCAUGUGUCACCGGCAUGUUUGAGACUUGUUUCUUGAUUUAAGUCUCGCCCCGUUAUAAGACAAUCAUGUUCAAAAGCUAUCACAAGCUCUUCAUAAAGUUGCCCUCUAAGUAAAUCACGCCGCUUACAAGAUGCUCCAACAUGAUUAACCACACUAUUAGUAGUUGCAAAAAAAGAGGCAAAUGUCUAUAUUUUUCUUUGCUACGGCAACAAGAGCUAGUUGAAGUUGAUGAGCAAAGCAAUGAACAUAAUAUACACAAGGUUGUUCUCUCAAUAUCUUUGUUUUAAGGCCAUUCAACUCACCUCUCAUAUUGCUAGCAUCAUCAUAACCUUGUCCUCGUAGCUUGGAAAGGCACAAAUCGUUGCGAGAAAAAAAUGUGUCAAUAGCAUCCUUUAGUGAACUUGAAGUAGUGUCAGUAACAUGUUGGAUACCCACAAAUCUUUCAAUUACAUGCCCUUUGUUAUCCAUAUAACGCAAUACCAUAGUCAUUUGCUCUUUCACCGACACAUCACGUGCUUCAUCCAUCAAUAUUGAAAAGAAUUUAUCUUUUAGACCAUCCAUGAUAGCAUCAAGUGUUUCAAGGGCAUAUGAAUUCACAAUUUCUUUUUGAAUGCAAGGAGCUAGUAAUUUGAGAUUCCCAGGAGCAUUUUCCAUCACAACUUCUCUAACUUUAUCAUCAUUAUCUGCAAGGAAUUGCAAUAGCUCCAAGUAAUUUCCCAUAUUGCUUGAAGUGGCACUUUCAUCAUGGCCACGAAAAGCAAGACCUUGUCGCAAUAAAAACUUAGUGCACUUGAUUGAUGCAUUCAAGCAUGUGCGAUAAGCCUUACGAGCUUGGUCGGAGUGUUUGCUCACUGCCGUUUCAAUAUGUGUAUUUCGAUUCAUCAAAUUUGUAGCAGCUUCUCUAGCCUUAUUAUGAACACUCCCAACCGGUCCAACAUGCAUCUUAAAUCUUCCUCUCCCUUUCUUCCAAUUCUUAAAUCCAUCUUCAGUGAAAGCUUCACUACCCACUUGUUCAAAAUUGGUUUAAAGAGAUAGCAAUAGAGACAAUAUGCCGCAUCUGUAGAUAUACUAUACUCCAACCAAUCAAACUCAUCAAACCAUUGGGGAAUGAAACGUUGAUUAAUUCCUGACAUAUUAGUUAUUGGGAAAUUAUGACCUCUAGGUUGACAAGGUCUUUUUUGUAGAUAUGAUCUUCGGACCUCAUCUCUCAUAUUAGCAUCAUAAUCUAUCAUUCGAGUUCUUAAUCCAGGGUCCGCUUGAAGAUUACCUAAAACACCAUAUAACUGACUUUGUCUUGAACUUGGAGUUCUUGAACUACCAACAUUAUUUGAACUAUCAACAUUAUCCGAACUACACGAACCUGAUCAUGAUUUUCUCUUAAAAAACCGUUCCAUAAUAUUCUACAUAUACAAAACAAUCAAAAUAAAUACUCACAAUAUAAACAAACCAUCAACAUAAUCAAAAUACAUAUGAAUUGGAUUUCAAUUAAAUUAAAUAUAUUCUACAUAUACAAAAUAAUGAAAAUAUAAACUCACAAUAUAAACAAACCAUCAAUAUAAUCAAAAUAAAUAUGAAUUGAAUUUCAAUUAAAUUAAAUAUAUUCUACAUAUACAAAAUAAUGAAAAUAAAAAAUUAUAAUAUAAUCAAACCACCAAUAUAAUCAAAAUAAAUAUGAAUUAGGUUUCAAUUAAAUUAAAUAUAUCAUACAUAGUAACAUAGGAUUUAAAACUUACUUGAAUUGUGAAAUUUCACAAUAACAAUGAGCAAAUACAAAGAGAGUAGCUAGCGGCACCACCACAACGACGACGACGGUAGCACAAAGGCACCUCAAUUGUGGCAGCCAGGGAGGGGAUUGAGUUGAAGGUUUUGGGGGGGUUGGUGUGGGGUGGGAAUUGAGUUGGGAACUUAGGGUUGGAGGAGGAGAAAACAAAAGAAAAUUGGGAGUUUUGGAAUGGAGGAAUUGGGUUUGUGGAAAAGCAAUGGCUGGAGGAUACGUUGGUCAUUAUUUUUUUUUUUCAGACCUGGCUCAAAACGACGUCGUUUUUGCCAGGUUAUUUACAAAAAAUUCACUGUGCCAAAACAACGUAGUUUUGGCCAGGUCAUUUAAAAAAAUUCCCUGAGCCAAAAGGACUUUCCUGAGCCAAAACUACGUCGUUUUGCCCAGGUUGUUUAAAAAAAAAAACUCGCACGCCAGUCAGCCUUCUUCUUUUUCAGCCUGCGAACCUUCCUUCUUCUUUCAGACAUUUCGUCGACCACUUGGUGUGCAGCUCCAAGAGGUCGCACCAGCAGCUCCAAGGGACCUCUAAGCCUAUUUCCAUGGCUUCCAAGAGGUCGUGCGACCCCAUUGACCCCACUGUGGCUCCGCCUCUGCACAUGGACACUUGUCAAGUGUUGAGAACUAUGUGUAUCUUUUUAUGUUUAUUAAUAAAAUUCACUCGUAUCAUAGAGUUUAAUAUAUAAAUUUUGCCCAAUCGACUUUCAAAUUCUAGAACCGCCACUAGGGUGUAGUGUGCAGUUCGAACAUUGAGGCGGUCAUAGGUUUUGAGAAGGAUAGGCCACUGAGAGGUGUCCAUGGAAGGAGUCGGGGUUAAUGAAGUCUUUGUCCAAAUCAUUGUCUUUAUGUCUAUGCUUUUUCUUCUUUUUCUUCUUUAUAUCUGCCCUUUUCGCCACGGCCUUCACUGGGGUUCGAUCAUCAUCAGAAGCCAUUUCCUGCACAUUAGACAGAACAAAAAUGAAAAAAAAAAAAAGAAAAAAAAGAACACUAGAACAGCAGGUAAAACCCAACAUCAAAUACAAAUUUUAUUCUGGGCAAAAUUUAAGAGAAAAUAAUCGCUCUGAUUUUUCCAUUGUCAAACAAAAAAAACACUUAAUUAAUCAUUACCCAUAAUAGAGUUAUAUUAUAUGCUUGGGGAUGGUGGCUUUCCUAAACAAAGCAUUAUCAUUAAGUUCCCAGUAAAGAGAUUAACACAAAAUGGCAGGGGUUUUACAAAUAAACUAGUUUCAGGUGCAGUGACAUGUUAGGAACCCUUAUCAGCUUCUGAAGACAAAAGAAGAGACUUUCACAUACAAAUCACUUGGAAGUAUUCAUAACAGAAAACCCAAAAGAGGGCAAGUAGAAAAUCAAUACCUUUUACUUAAAAGCACCUAAUCGGAAUGGUUCGGCGGCGGCAGAGGUAGGGGUUUUAAGAAGAGAAAGAGAGAAGAGAAGAGGAGAGAGUGGCGGGAGUUAGGGUUAUGCAAUUAACCCUGCUAUUUUAUGUUUUAUUAAUUACAAUUUUGGAGAUUUCUCACCUGUUCUUUUCUGGGAUCAUCUAGGAUAGAAAAAACCAAAUGUAACAGAUCAGAACCAUGAACAAACAAACUUUUCUUUCUCUUUUUCAUGUCAGUUUCAGAGGAAACAAACAGAGAAUUGGAUAGAGAAAUACCAUGGUUGCGAAGUUGAGCUGACGACUAGAGGAAGAGACGGCAGCAAACGAAGAAGGUCGAGGUCUCUCUCGCACUCGUUACCGUCUCCCAUGGUUGGAAAUUCAGAUCUGACCGCAUUGAGUCCGAUUUGAGAGCUCGAAGAGAGAGAAGGCUUGGCUGCCGGUGAAGAUGGGGUUUCCGUCGGUUAGGUGGGUGGGUGGGUACCUAAGGAAGAGAAGCCAUGGUUUUUGGUGUGAGUUUCUGGGACUGAGCUUGCAAUAUCCCACAUUCAUCUUUUCCCAGCUCUGUAAAUUUUCCAUCUCCAGGUUGAAAUGCAAGCUUUCGCGGGUGGGAGGCAAAGAAACCCACUAUAGCAGGUUAUCCAGUUUUUGUGUGUGGUGAUUUUAGUGAUUUUUCUUCACAAAUUAUUUUGAGCCAUUAGAUCAAAACUUUUAAAUCCAACGGUUAAAAGCUUUGAUGUAUAAGUAUUGAUACACCAGAGCAUAUUAGAAUUUUCGCUAGAUGACAUCUGUGAAGAAGUCACUAUAGAAUAGGCCUCAUUAUUUGGUCUGUGGGCUCAUGGGUCGAUAGGGGCUUGUCCGGCCCAUCGAAAAAAAGCCCGGCCCGGCCCAUUAUGGGCUUUGAGAUGGCUUGGCCAGCCUUGGGCUGGGCUAGGCUUGGGCUUGGGUGUCUCAAGCCCAGCCCAACCUGAUUAAGCCCAAGAAAGCUCGGCCUGGCUCGUUAGGCCCACAUACAUAUAUAAUUAUGUAUAAAUAGGAGUUUAGGUUUAGGAUUAAAUCACAUAUAUAAUUUGUUUCAUUUCAUUUACUUUUCUUUACUCAUUCCUAGUUUAUAAUUGGAUGAUUAACACAUUAAUUUGUGUCAAUUAUUAAUUCAACAAUUAUAUAUAUAAAUAAGAUGAACAACAUAUCACAUCACCAAAUAUAAUCAUAUCAUGAAACAUAAUCGUACCACCAAAUAUAAUCAUGCUUUUCUUGAACACAUCACCAAAUAUUUGCAUAUUUAUUCAUACCAUCCUUUAAAAAAAAAAAUUUGAUACUUAUUAUUUUUUAAAACGUAUUACGGUCUAAUUAUGUAAUAACCUCAAAAAUAAUACUUUGUUUUAUUAUUUUUUUGGAAAAUCUUAUUAAGUUGUGUGACUUUAUUUGGUGUUUUAUGAAUUUGGUUUGAUGUGAAAAUAUUGGAAUUAAGUUAGUUUAAUUUUAAAUUUGGACUAAAAUGCCCUUAUGAUUAAGUUUAUAAUUUUUUUUUAAUGAAGUAUGCCCAUUUAGGCCUGACCAGUUGGGCUUAGCCUUGCCCGGCCCGAUGGGCUUUCUCAAGUUUGGCCCAUGGGUUGGGCUUGGACUUUGAAUUUUCUAAAAAAAUCCGGCUUGGCCAAGCCAUAUAUUUUCUCUCUUCUUUUUAAAACCCGGCCCUGCCCAGCCCAAGCCCAUUAAAUUUGGGCCGAGCUAUACGAGCCCUACUACAGAAUGUCUUGAUUUGACAGUUACGUGGGUCCCAUACUUUUCAUGCAAAUUGAUCAGGAAGGUGAGAGGGAAGGGCCAUGAUGUUUUUUGGUUUUCUUAAGCAAUAGUUCUUGAACUAUACUCGUAGUUAUAUUUUGGUCACUCAACUCCAAAAAUAGAUGCAAAGAUCCCAUAAUUAUGUAUGGUGUUACAUUAGUAGUCCCUUUCGUCAAGUCUGUUUAUUUUUUCGUUAAAUCUAUGGAUAAACUUGAAAAUUCAUUCCAAAUAUUUAUAAAAACGAAAUAACAAAAAAUAAAUAAAUAAAGGUUAUUUGUAGCAAUGGUCCCUCAACUAUAGUCAAAGUUAUAUUUUGGUCACUCAACUCUAAAAAAUAGUUACAAAGGUCACUCAAUUAGAUGUAGUGUUGCACCAUUAGUCCUUACCGUCAAGUCUCUUUAACAGUAAAAACUAAUAGUGCAACACAACACCUAAUUGAUGAGCUGUUUGGGCCCUUGGCUGAUUGUUUCAAGUGGACAUACUUUGGUUUUGAUUUGAAUGGCAGAAGUGGUAGCUUAAUCCUACAAGUGCAUUUAUUGACCGAAAGGCAAAGGAUGGGACCAAUAAAUGUCUACAUCUAACCCAAAUAAGCUAGGCCUGCCCUUUCUUUUUAUAAUGAAUUCUCCAUACCUGUUCUUCACAAAUAUAUAGUGCACUAUUAAAGUCGGUCGCUCAACUUCGAGUGGUAUAACUUAAAAAAUAAAUAAAUAAAUAAAUAAAAUCGAGUAAUAUAAAGUAGGAGCUGAGGAAUCUUUAGAAGAUGAUAUUGUGAUGGAAAAAGAAGGUGAUUUUGAGAACUUGAGAGGGCCUUGGAUGGUUGUUCAAAAUAGGAGAAAACCGAAAAGUUGGGUUAAGGAUAGAGGAAACAAGGGAGCUGGAGGUCCCAGCAUAGGCUGUCGGUUUGACACGUUAAGAAAAGUGAAUGAAGACUUUGAUAGAAAUGGAGGGUUUGAUACUGGCAAGACUAAUUAGUUUGGGCCCAACCAUGUUGGCACAUCUAAGAGCACCUCCACCGCCCCGUCCACAGCCCCUCGAAGCUCAGGUUAGGCCCUCCAGCGUGCAGCCUGAAGAUCGGGCAAGUCCUGGGGCCCACUAGUCUGGGCAAGUCCAAGGGCAAUUCUUGGUUGGGCUCCAGCCCAAAGUGGUUGACGUCAACGAAGUGAAAUUAGAUUAUUAUUUUCUUUUACCGUUGGCGCAUGAAAUUCAGAUUUUUUUUUUCUUCUAUCAAUUUUUUUAUUUAUUGGGAUUUUCUAUUUAGAAUUACUAACGUACUCUUUUAUUUAGUUCAGUUGUUGAGAAGCACGAUAAUGGGCACUAGAAUAUCAGCCAGCGAAUCAUAGGACACUAGCCAGAUCAACAACAAUAGCCCAAUUGAUCAAGAUAAUUCUUUUCAUUAGUAUAGAACUUUGUUUAUGAUCUUGCGCUCUUGAAAAUCAUGUUAGUAUGGCUUCCUUUAUUUUUGGUAUGCGUUCUGUUAAAUUAGGUAAAUUAUGUAUACUUGUAUGUUAAAUUUAUGUACUAAAAUUUUAGGAAUGGAAGAAUCUUCUGCAAGACUAGACAAUAAUCAACAUGAUGAUGCAGUUGAAAUGAAUUUUAAUGGGAUUGAAAAGGAAAAUAAUGGGGAUGAAACUGAAAAUAAUGACAUUGUAAUGAGUGUUGAAGAAAAAGUACAAGACCCUCGAGUUAGAAUGAUUUUUGACAGUGUUGAUGAGGUGAUCACAUAUUACAAACAAUAUGGGAGGCAAUCAUAGUUUCCAGUGAUAAGGAGAUCAUCAAGAACUGGAGAUGAUGGAAAUUUCAAAUAUGUUACUAUUCUUGUGCCCAAUAAGACAAAUCAAAAAGUAAGUCAAGUAAUCUUCUUAAAUCUCAUCCAAGUAUAAAGAAUGAUUGCAAGGCUCAGCUUAGGGCAGGUUUAUUGAACGUCUUUUUUGCAGUUUCUUUAUAUUUUAAAUAAAUUCAGAGACUCUUUGGAUUCUGCGUGUAGUUUUCACCAAAAUUUCAUACACGCGAUUAGAAAUGGUAUUUCCUUACUUGACUUAUAACCGGCCCAUUCCCAUCCCUAAAGAUCACCAAUUUCAUUUUCAAUUAUUUUUGUUUGUAAAACUUAAGAUACUAUAUCUCUAGUAAUUCCAACACAAGACAAGCCAAUUCAAAUGAUAAUUUCAUGGAGUGAAUCUCUUUAAAAUAAGUGGUGAAGUAUUACUUUUUAGGAAUAGUAAAUCAAAUAAAUAAGCAUAAGUUAUUGGUUCCAAGCAUAAGUUAUUGAUACUAUUCUCUAAAAAGAAGAAUAUCAAUCAUAUAUGUUUAUCUAUAUUAUAACACAAAAAUAAAUCAUACCACUUAACCGUAACAUUUUAUAAUUUCUUGAAAAGUCCAAACCUUUUAAAUGAGGUUUCGUGUGAUUUUGUCAGGCUGAGAGGUCCCAUCUAAUGGUAGAAUUUUCCCAUAAAGGAGAGGUCCGACUCCCAAUGGAGACCCAUCGACCAAAAACAGUAGAGUAAUCCCCGCAAAGAAGAAACAAUUAAUAUUCAAGUGAGUAUGCCACCUAAAUAAUAAUGAGGACAUCGUGGAACAGUUUCGAACCACGAUCUACUUUGUUUUCUUCUUAUAAUUGUGAAAUUGAUACCGUUGAUGCAUUGAGGACAGAGACAAUUCGACACUGACAAGGGUCUUUAUUUGAAAAUGCUCAGGGGGUGAGAAUGAAUACGAUAUCUACCUAUCACAUCACGUGAUAAAAAUCUAAUAAGUAUAAAAUUAUUCUUUUCAAUUAGAGGGUGAACUCUAUUAUAUUAAUUGACUCUACUUUGAUUAGAAAAAUAAUACAUAAUCUUAGAAGGGACGUUUAGACUUUGCUUUUUAAUUUUGUAUUUUUAUAGAGUUGACAUUGAGAGAGCAGAAUUAUGGUUUGAAAUGCUCUUAACUACUACUAUUUAACCACGUAAACUAUAAGCUAUAAACCAAUAAUUUUUCUAUGUUUGAGGCACAUAGUAUUUAUGUCUUAUGUUAUGUCACAUGUAUUGAAAAAUAUGUCUACAUGGGAUGGGACCCUGGUGUACCCGCACAUACACAAAUUUGUCCUUGCUCAGUCGCUACAUAUAUGGAUGUUAUUACAACGUCGGUAUACAGAGACGUGCUUUGCCUUCUUCACUGCAAAGAAGGUUAGAUAAAUAGUUUGGUUUGGAGGUGAGGUGAGGCCCAGCAAAAAGAUGGCGGUGGUCAACGUGAGCGUGAGGGAGUCAACGUUGGUGAAGCCGGCGGAGGAGACGCCGAGGCAGGUGCUGUGGAUGACCAACUUGGACCUUGUGAUUUUGGGCAACCACACGCCAAGCGUCUACUUCUACAGGCAGAACCAAAACAGUGUGCACGGUCAUCAUAACAACUUCUUCGACCCGCAGGUGCUCAAGCAGGCGCUAAGCAAGGCCCUCGUGCCCUUCUACCCGUUGGCGGGGCGCCUCGGGAUGGAAGGCAACGGCCGCGGCGAGAUCGACUGCAAUUCGGAGGGCGCGCUGUUUGUCGUGGCUGAGACGGGCUCAACCAUCGACGAUUUCGGCGACUUCGCGCCGACUCUCGAGUUCCGGAAGCUCAUCCCAGCCGUUGAUUAUUCGACAGGGAUAUCAACUUAUCCCCUCUUGGUGUUGCAGGUAUGUUUAAAAUCGCUAGUGUCGUUUCAUUACUUGAUCUUGACCGUAGAUUAAACGCUUCGGUCAACAUUUCACCCAGCUGACUUGGUUGAAUGAUAGUUGAUGAUGAAAUUUUAUUUAUUUGGUAAUUGAAAGGAUAACAAAAAACACAAAAAAAGAGGAAAGCAGAAGCAUCUGGUGGCACUGCCACACUUUAUCAUGAAAUGAUAUUUGUAUUUAUUGAUUAAUAUUUGAAUUAAUAAAAAAUAUUAACUAUGCCGACAGAGAGACUAUAUUACCUAAAGAGUGAUGCUAUUUCUCUAUUUUCUCACUCAUCUUAUUUUCCUAUUCAAUAUAUAAAUUUUAAUAAAUACAAUUAUAUUUUUUCACCCUCUAUUAUUCCUAGAAUACCUUUUACAAAAUUAAAUGAAAAAAAAGUUAAUCAAGCUCUCUUCUCCAAGUCACCCCCAACCUCUUGCUCUCCUCUGCCAUCACCACCAUCCCUCCAACCCAUCUGUAAAACCCAUAAAUUUGUUUUCUCCUAAUUGAAUUUUGCUUUAACAUUAUCUGCCCAAAUUAAUUCCCUAUUUAUUUACAUAAAUUUCAAAUGAAGCCUGCAUAAUAAUAACUCACCCAACAUCCCCUACACUGCGAUAUUCCAAUUUUUAUUUCUGUAGUUUCAAAAGAGCUCUUCCUGUUUUUAUGAUACUGCAACAGCAUAAAAAUUCCAGUACCACAUGUUUUGGCAAACUCGUGCAAAAUAACAAGCAGCUGGAAAAAAAAAAUACAAAUGUUUCAGAGAGUGAACCUUAUUUUACUUGCCUAGAUAAAACUGACCAAGAUUGAAUUAAAGAUGAACAUCAAAUGGUGUUGAUUAAGCAAACAGAGGAUGAAGAGUCCAAAAAAAUGAUAAAAGAAGCGUCACAAAUAGAAGAAUUUAUUUCAAUCCUUAGAAGUUAUUUUACAUAAGGAUAAAUUUGUCUUUAAAAUUUUGAGAAUAAGAUAGGGGGAAAAAUAGGACAUAAGGUGAAAAUAGCAGCAUUCUUCUUAAAAUAUGUAUUUCGGAAGAAUUAGAGCAUGUGCGACACUUUAAUAUCCAGGUAAUUAUGAUUAGAUGGAGUUUAACUGAAUAAAAACGAGUCUAUUGUGAUUAGAUGGGAUCUUCUUUUCCUCAAUAUCAACUGGCUGAUUUAUAUGCUGCUGUCAAGUCCAUUUACUUCAACUAUCUACUUUAGUACUUUUGGAAACUACUUUUCCUCACAGGCGAAAAGUUUUGUUGUUUACGUAUACAAGUUAAGCUGCCAAUCUUGAUUCCAAGCAUAAAUGUUUGUCCUGUUGUUUCACGUUGUAUCAGUUAAUAGAAUUUGGAGAACCACCGGCCAAAAACAGUAGAAUAAUCCCCGCAAAGAAAGGAACAAUUAAUAUAUACUAUAAAUGAUAAUGAAGACACGUGGAGCAGUUUGGGUGGAGACAUUGUUGGGCAGUUUCAAACCACAUACUAUUUUGUUUUCUUCUUAUAAUUAUGAAAACGAUACCCGUUGAUGCAUUGAGGGACAGAGACAAUUCGACAGUUGACGAGUGUUCUUUACUUUGUAGUUUGUAUGGAUUCUUCAAUACUUCGAGUCCAACCUGCAUUCGUCUGUCUACUUGUUGCCACUUAGAUGAGCUUAAUAGGGAGUUUUAAUUACAAUUAUGGUAGUUAAUAAAAUGUUUGAAAUAAAUUAUAAAUAAAAUAUGAAAUUUAGUGACAAUGAUGUAAAAACGUAGGAAUAUUAUGACUUCUUAUAUCAUACUGGUCAUUUAAAUUUGAAAUUGAAUUUUAUAUAUAGAUUUAUAGAAUGAUGAGUAUAUGUUUAGGAAAUAGAAAAUGUAGGGACUUAUAUUGGACAAGCCCUAAUUCUUUAAGCCAAGUUAUUGUCUUCCUGUUAUAUCUGAGUGGAUGCGUUUUCUUUUUGGUGGAUUAGAGAAUAGUUUUACCCCACUAUACAAUUCCAAGUGCUCACCCCUUCUUUUAUUUCUCUUGCUCAUAAUAUCAUCCUGGAUAUGACUUAAACUUACAAAGUAUGGUUCGGGUUUUACUCUGUUUAUGCAUCAGGUCACAUACUUCAAAUGUGGUGGAGUGUCACUUGGUGUUGGCCUGGAACAUCGUGUAGCAGAUGGCCUUUCUGGUCUCCACUUUGUAAAUACAUGGUCUGAUAUUGCUCGAGGUCUUGACCUGACAAUUCCACCAUUCAUUGACAGGACAUUACUUCGUGCCCGAUACCCACCACAGCCUGCAUUCGAUCACAUUGAAUACCAACCCGAUCCACCCAUUAAAACUGGUACAAAAGCUGUAGGUGAUGAGAGCGCAACGGUAUCCAUUUUUAGAUUGACAAGGGAGCAGCUCAACAUCUUGAAAGCCAAGUCUAAGGAAGAUGGGAACACAAUCAACUAUACCACAUAUGAGAUGUUGGCAGGCCAUGUUUGGAGAUGUGCAUCUGUGGCACGUGAACUUCCUGAUGAUCAAGAGACCAAACUACAUAUUGCAGUUGAUGGAAGGUCCAGACUGCAACCCCCACUCCCACCUGGUUUCUUUGGCAAUGUGGUUUUUGCAGGCGCACCAAUUGCUGCAGCAGGGGAUCUCAAAUCAAAACCAACAUGGUAUGCUGCAAGCUGUAUUCAUGAUACUGUUGUGCGUAUGGACAACGAUUAUCUUAGAUCAGCACUGGACUAUCUUGAACUUCAGCCUGACCUGUCACCCCUUGUUCGCGGAGCUCAUACUUUUAGGUGCCCGAGACUUGGAAUAACUAGUUGGUCUAGGCUGCCGAUCUAUGAUGCUGAUUUCGGUUGGGGUCGACCUAUUUUCAUGGGGCCUGGUGGAAUGGGAUAUGAGGGGUUGGCUUUUGUGUUACCAAGUGCAACAAAUGAUGGAAGUUUAUCGGUGGCCAUUUCUCUGCAAUCUCAACAUAUGCAAUCAUUCUCCAAGUUGUUGUAUGAGAUAUAAGGAAAUGAAAUGCGUCGAAUGGGGGCAAUACGUUGAACAGACUUCGGGCUUCUGUGUGUGUCCUCUGAGUUCUGGGACUUUGCAUUGACUCUAGCCUAGCUGAUCGGAAAGCAGCUGUUUUUGAAAAGUUCAAGUGGUCUUUUGGUUAAUCUAUAUUAGAGGAUCUGUUUUAGAAACAACCUAGUACUGAAUAAGAUUGUCAGAGUAUCUGUAAGCUUUGUUUAUUGCUGUGGAGGACUUCUUUUUCGGAGUAUCUGUAGUUUACUGUGAUUGUUAAUAAGGUUUUCUUUCUCCAUGAAACAAAAACAUACUGAAUCACUUUGGUUGCAUAAAGGUUGGUGCCUUUGGUAAAGCUACACUUUGGUUAUACUUUCAAAAAUUUUGGUUUAAUGCAAGAGCAUUUGUAGUGUUUUUAUUUCUCACUGAAAAUGGAUCAAGAGGUUCUUCUUCUGGAGACUUCAGUGUCAAGUCUGCCCAUUUGCUGAAUUUUCCCAAAUGAGAAUUCCCAGCUGUUCCUUCAUAUGGAAAUCCAAAUUGCCUCCUAAAGACAAAUGCUUUCUUCUUCAAAUAAGUAACCAAGGAACAAAGACUUAAAGAGGCGUAUGGUUUCUGAGUAGUCUAGAAGGAGAUCUUGUUACCCCCAACGACUUCAAUACUCUCAGUUUGAAUGCUGCUAUGACUGGGUUGAAGCCUCUUAGGCAUGACCCUCCUUCUCAGUUGGGUAUAUCCCCUGGAAUUUAGGCAGCUUUUCUGUGGCUUGCUGGAGGUUAUGGAGGAGGAGAUGCUGUAGGGCCUUUGGAAGGGAAUUUCAGUCGAGGGCGUUUUUGUUCACCCAUGCUGUAGGGCCUUUUAUGUUCAACACCCACUUCAUUUUGAACAAAAAUGAAAAUAAAAGAUUCCAUGUUUAUGUGCUAAGUUGGUUAGUUUAAGUAAAGAUGGCCACUAUGUGAAAAAUGAAAAGAAGGUUCUAAAUCUUUUCAAAAUAAAGCUCAAAAAGCGUCCGUUAGACAUAUAAAAGAACUUUUUUACUGCUAUAAUUCUUGGGCAAAAAUGUUUUAUAGGAAUCCCAUUUUUUAAGGGGCCUUGUGCUGUCGGCCGUCCAGCACACGGCAUGCCAUGUAUUAUAUCCAAACUCAUCAUUUUCGUUACUCUUUCUUAAAAUUCGAUCAAUGUCAUUCCUAUCCUCUUAUGCCAUACAUGAAUAUCUGUAUAUCUUUGAUGUUUAAUGGUUAGAUUACCGUCAUUUAACGUAAAUUUUGUCAAUUACAUUAAAGCCAACUCGUCUAAACUACUAUCAAAUUACUGAUAUUUACAAUUGUUUGAUUUUAAAAAUUACCGUCGUCCAUAUUUUUGACAACAACUAUUGAGCCUCAUCUAUACACAAGGGCUAUAGCCUAGUGCGACUUUGGGCCUAAAUCCUUUUGUUUUAGAAUCUCUAAGCCACGCCCUCCCCUUUAGUCACAUGUAAAAAAAGAAAAUAUUAGCGGACAAUAUUCUGACAAAGAAACAAUGGAAACUCUAGUUCUAAACUUCACCAAUUCCAUCAAUCCCAUGACCUUUGGUAAUUUUCUUCUGUCCCAACUCUCUGUAUUAUAUCAGAUUAAAUAUGGUGGUUCUCCUCAUCUUCAAAUUAAAGGUUGUGAUUAUAAUCUCUCUAAUUAAAAAUAAUUUUUAUUAGAAAUCAUCCACUUUUUAACUGUCUUAAUUUUAGUCCUCAAACUUUCAAAUUAAUAAAUAUGACCCUCAAAAUUUUGGGUCACACAUAAGUUUGGUCUAUAUCAUCGUUUGGAGAUGUGUAGGCAACGCAUGUGACCUCCCCACUACAAAAAAAAGUGGCAACAGUUAUCAUUAUUUGGUGAUAUUUGCUGGGGUGACUAAAACUUUAGCCACCCCAGCAAAUGUCACCAAAUAAUGCGAUUUUCAAGACUGCAACCCCCACUUCCUCCUAGUUACUUUGGCAAUACGAUUUUCACAACAAUGCCAAUUGCAAUCGCAGGGGAUUUCCAAUCAAAUUGAACAUGGAACGGAGCAAGCCACGUUCAUGAUGUUUUGGUUCAUAUGGAUGAUCAAGGUUUUAAAACGCAAGGUGUUGAGGCAAGAUGCUUUUGAUCCCGAAAGGUGAAGCGUAAUUCUUUUGAAUAUUAAUUAUUUUAAUUAAAAAUAUAAAAUAAUAUAAAAUAAUUAUAAAUGAGUACUAAUUGUCUCCUAAGCAUAAUAAUCAAGUAUUCUAGGAUGACAAUUUAGGGUACUGUAGAUAUGAUUUCGGGUUCAGUAAUUCUACUGGGUGGGAGUGGCAUAAACAGUUGCAGGGUAUUUACCCCAAAUCUCAGAGUCUUAAAAAUAGGCUAAGGAUUGUGAUAAAUUGCGAGCAUGCCACUAUUAGCAGUGUAAAACCCUAACAGAUCUUAAUGAAUAAAAAUAACUUAUGCACCAAGAAACCUGACUUCCAAUAAAACAAUUGUGCUUGGAAUGGGGAACUAGUUCAAUACGGAUUCUUUUCUAUGCUUCAAGAUAAACGAGGACUUUAUUAUGUCUCUAAUACAAAGCUAAGAGAUAAAAAACAUAAACAAGUAAACAAUGUGUCAAAUCGAUCAUAUCUGGUGAGAACGAAGACUGCCACCACUUUUGAGUUGCCUCAUAGCCACUAGAAUGAUGGUAUUUUUGCUCACCACUUUAACCCAAGUUGUACCAUCACCACCCUUCUCAACACUUGAUACGUGUUUAUGGGCAUAAUCAUAGUUCCACAAAUACAACAAAGAGUUAACUAUGGUUAUGCACAUGGACACAUGUCAAGUGUAAGGAAGUAUGGUGAUGGUACAUUUUGGUUUUGUCACAUCCCGGGAUCGGCUCCGCCGUAGCACGAUAUUGUCCGCUUUGGGCCCCUCUUUGCCCUUACGGUUUUGUUUCUGGGAGCUCACGAGCAACUUCCCAGUGGGUCACCCAUCCUGGGAUUGCUCUAGCCCCCAACUCGCUUAACUUCGGAGUUCCUACAACUCCGAAUCCAGUAAGCUCCCAAAAGGCCUCGUGCUAGAUGGAUGCGGGUGUGCACAUAUAAGGCACAUCAUCCCCUCUCCGUUGGUUGAUGUGGGAUCUUACAAUCCACCCCCCUUAAGGGCCCGAUGUCCUCGUCGGCAUACUCGUACCACACGGCAGAGUGGCUCUGAUACCAAAUUGUCAUAUUUCAGGAUCGACUCCAUCGUAGCACGAUAUUGUCCGCUUUGGGCCCCCCUCUCUGCCCUCACGGUUUUGUUUCUAGGAGCUCACGAGCAACUUCCCAGUGGGUUACCCAUCCUGGGAUUGCUCUGGCCCCCAACUCGCUUAACUUCGGAGUUCCUACGACUCCGAAGCCAGUGAGCUCCCAAAAGGCCUCGUGCUAGAUGGAUGCGGGUGUGCACAUAUAAGACACAUUACCCCCUCUCUGUUGGUUGAUGUGGGAUCUUACAAUCCAUCCCUUAAGGGUCCGACGUCCUCGUCGGCACACUCGCACCACACGGCAGAGUGACUCUGAUACCAAAUUGUCAUACCUCGGGAUCGGCUCCGCCGUAGCACGAUAUUGUCUGCUUUGGGCCCCCCUCUCUGCCUGCACGGUUUUGUUUCUAGGAGCUCACGAGCAACUUCCCAGUGGGUUACUCAUCCUGGGAUUGCUCUGGCCCCCAACUCGCUUAAUUCGGAGUUCCUACGACUCCGAAGCCAGUGAGCUCCCAAAAGACCUCGUGCUAGAUGGAUGCGGGUGUGCACAUAUAAGACACAUUACCCCCUUUCCGUUGGUUGAUGUGGGAUCUUACAGGUUUAAAGUGGUGAAAAAAAUAUUUCCCCAUUAGAAUAGCCUCAAAAUGUCAAGAAGAUUUGGUAACAAUCGAGUAGAAGCGCCACUAAUGGGCAAUUCAAGAUUAUUUCCCCUUUUUUAGACUUAUCUUUGACCUUGUGUGAUUAUCAAUUAAAAGCAUCCGCAAUGGUUGUUCCAAUUCAAUGCAAUAGUUCAAUAAAUUGAUCUUUUUUGGCAUUUAUUGAAUUGAACUGCAGUUUUACUUGUAAUGGUAUAGUUCAAUAGCUUCAAAUCAAUAGUUAUAUCAAUAGUUAUAGUUCAAUAGUCUCAAAGAAAUCUUUAAAAAGAGACUAAUUUUGGAAAAUCAAUUAUGUAAUUUUUUAUUUAUUGCAUUGAACUAUUGAACAACCAUUACAGAUACUCUUAACAACAUAAUGCAUUAAUUAUUGUUUUUUUUCUAUUUUUUUAUUGGCAUGUGGGUCCCCUAGUUAGCCUAUUGCAAUUGCAAUAGAGGGUUCAUCACAUAGAACCUUCUAUUACAAUGAACUAAAUCACACAAUUGCAAGUGAAAUUUUAGUAUUUUAGUUCAAUUUCAUGCAAUAAAAUUAUAUUGAUUCUAACCAUUGCAGAUGCUCUAAUGUACAAUUCCCCUUUUAGCGCCACUAACUUGGCCAAAUUCUCAUUACUUUAUAUCAAAACAGUGAGCCCAAGCCAUCAAUUGGCCCAAUUCUUUUAUUUAUUCCCAUGGAUUGAAAAUAGGACCAAAACACAGGGAUGUAACUGAAGCAAUUAAUAUUCUUGUACAAAAACUCAAAAUCAUAUGAGCAUGCUCUCAUCUUCGCAUGUUAUCCGAGUUUCUCCUCUUCUACUGCUGCACGUAAGAUACAGUGCAUACUUUAAAUUUCUUUUCAAAGGUCUCAUGGCAUAGUAUUAAUUUUCACAAAUACACAAAUCUGUUUUGGUUGUUCAAAUUACACACUGAGGAUAAUCUCAUUAAAUUUCUUUUCAAAUUGUGGCACUGCUUUUUGCCAAAUUAGAAAACUGCAUAACAGUAUUUCCUAUAUCGGCUGAGAUUGUUCCUACAACUUAACGAUGUUUUGCCGCAUGGGAACUGGGGAGGAAAACAAUGAAGAAAUGUGUGACAUUGCUAUGUAUGUAAUUAUUGUGUACAUUUAUUAAGUAAAAAAAUUCAAACAAUUGGUUCCAUUGGUUAGAGCAGUUCUAGCCAUGCCCCCAAGCCAGGCAGGAGGGGGGGUUCCAAGCCUAAAACGCGUUUCUAGCAGGCCUUUUUUGCCGGGGCAGCUUGUGGGUCCCACGGAACUAGGUUGGCCUGAAGGCAGAACAAGCUCGAGGGCGAGCUGACGCCAGCAUGUGGGUUUAAAUUUUUUUAUCGUUGGUGCGUGCAUUUAAUGCUCCAACGGUAAAAAAAAAAUUAAAUUCCGUGCAUUGUCGCCAGGUUAGCGUCAGUCCUUCCUUUCACCAACUGCUAGAAGCCACGUGGCGGACUCUGGGCGCUCCGAUUGGUUUUCUCCUUCAAUCCAAUGGUUGACUUUUUUUUUGCAAUAAAAUUAUGAAAAAAAUUCAAAAAAAUACCCAAAAAUUCAUGAAUUUUUUUUCUAUAAAUACCUACGAAUACUCUUCACUUUCAACACCAAAUCCUCAUACAUUUUCUUCUCCUUCUACUAUUAUUCACUUUCUACUCAACAUUUUAUUCACUUUCAAAAUUUAUUUUUAUUUAUCAUCUUAUGGCUUCUUCUAUCGAAACUGGAGGGGCGUGGAGCACCAUGGAAGAUGUUUUGUUGUGUGAGUGUUGGGUCCAAAUUAGUCAUUAUCUCGUCACGGGCAAUGAGAUUAAAUUCUCUCAUAUGUGGAGAAAAAUUCAUGCCGAAUUUUGUGAAAGAUCGGGUUCGACUCGUACGAAAAUGGCAUUGUUGAGUAGGUGGAAAAUUCUCAAUAAAGAGUUGGGAAAAUGGAGAGAUGCCUUGGCAAAAGCGAGGAACAACCAUAGAAGCGGGGGAAAAUCUUAGCAAUGAGGUAAAUUAUUUGUAAUUUUCGUUUUAUUAAUUUUAAUGUCCUAAUUUUUUUUUAAUGUUUCUUGCAUUUUCAAUUUUUUUUUAAAUAUUUCUUGCAUUUCUAUUUUUUUUAAUAAUGUUUCUUGCAUUUCCAAUAUUUUGUUAAUGUUUCUUGAAUUUCCACUAAUUUUUAAAUGUGUCUUGCAUUUUCAAUAUUUUGUUAAUGUUUCUUGCAUUUCCAAUAUUCUUUAAAUGUUCCUUGCAUUUCCAAUAUUUCAUUCCAAUGUUCUUUGCAUUUCCAAUAUUUUUUUAAUAGAUUAUGCAAGCACAAAUGUAGUUUGGUGCUAUUGGGCAAGGCCAAAAAACUUUCAACCAUGACCAAUGUUGGGAGGUGGUGAAGAAUUGUUUGGUGCUUUGAAAUAUUGCACGAAGAGAAUAAAAAGCAACCAAGUAAAAGGGGGUCGAGACUUUUACCGAAAUUUUAACAGAGUCUCCCCUAAAAAAAUGGUCUUUUCACAAAUUUUCCACCUAUGAAAAACAACAGAAAAAAAGUUCUCAACUGCCAGAACACACAAUGCUAAAGGCGCACAAAUUACAGAAUAGGCCUUCGGCCUUAAAUUCAACCCUACAUGGGCCAUAACAUAGCAAAUAUAAGAAAUCUUUAGUUUUACAACCAAAGCAUAAGUAUCAAAGGAAAUUAAACAAGUAAAAUUGCCUUACAACUGUUCAAGGCAUGAGAGUACGAAGUCUUGGCUUGGUUGCAAAACAAAAAUUGUGAGCGGACAAAAACAAAGUUUUAAUAUACUUUUAAACAAACAUACUAACCCCACCGUUUUGGAAAACGAUGCCCAAACAUGCCAAAAAACCAUUUAUAUAGCAUAAUCGACUCUAAAAACCAAGGUAUCCCAUAAUCCCGAUAUAGCAUAUAACACAAACUCAAACUAGACCUUUUUCCCUUCUCAGACCACUCUCUUCCGAGACACAUGCCUGUAAGCACAACAAUUGAGGAAGGUUCCUCACAAAUAAAUAAGAAUAAUAUAUAUAUAUAUAUACAUAUAUAGGUAUAACCACUACACCAAUACUAGUACGGGGGAAACAAUCCAACCUGGGGAUUGUUUGACUUAGGGCUAGGCAUUCAAACCGGCAACCCGGUCAAACCGCCCAAACCAAAUAGAUGGUUUAGGUUGGUUUGGUUUUUUUUCAAUCUUUUUUUGGUCAUCGGUUUGAACCCAAACCAAACUGAAAUAUAUGAUUCGGUGUACGGUUUGCAAUAUUCAAAACCACGAUUUAACCAAACCAAAUUGAAGAUAUUAAAAAAAAUAUUAUCAUAAGAUAUAUAUAAUACAUAGUUUCAAUCUUUCUUUUUCUUCUCUCUCAAUCUCUUCGUUUUCCUUGUCUUCAUCAGUCCACAUCUCUCUAUUUUUUUUUUCUCUUUCUUCUUACGUCUGUCUUCACUCCCUCUCCUCGUCUCCCUCUUCUUCUUCUUCUUCUUCUCUUUCUUUUCUUUUUCUCCUCUUCUUCUUCUUCUCCAUCUCUCCACCUUUUUUUUUCUUCUCUUCUCUUCUCUUCUCUCUCUCUCUCUCUCUCUCUCUCUCUCUCUCUCUCUCUCUAAGAAAGCCAAAAAAUCGAAACCGAACCAAAUCAAACCACCAAGUCUAGUUAACCGAAGUGGUCGGUUUUCAUCAAUUAUGGUUUGGUUUCGAUUUUAGCCAAACUGAGGCCUACGGUUCGGUGUUCGGGUUGAGCCCAAAAUCGAACCAACCCAAACCAAGCCCACCCAUAGUUUGACUAAACCACAUGCAGAAAUCCUCAAUACACUUGUGGCUAGGGAAGAGCAAUCCAAUAGGAACUAUUGCUCCCCACACAAGCACAACAGAAUCUUCAAUACUCGUGUGGCUGAAAUAAGUCUAACGCACGUUGACUGCCCGACAAGGGCCUAGGGUAACACCCAGUCAAGGGUGUCCGGGUUUCAACAUAUCCAAGUAUCCAUCAUUUCCAAGUAUCCAAGUGCCCGGAAGGUACAUAGGGUGGUGCUAACAGCACUUCAAUAUAACAUAUUGCACAUCCCAACAAAUAUACCAUAACCAUAUGCCAAAUUCCAAAUAUUCCAAAUUACCCAAUCCCAUAUACAUAGACAACCGAACAUUAAUAGAGUCCAUAACUCAAUACCCAAAUAUUUAAUCGUAGUAUAGAUAUCAAACUCUCAAAAGCAUAUAUACCAUAACCAAAAUAUUCACAAACUUCAAAUAUCAGUAUAACAUCCGAUAACCAUAAGAUAUUCUAACCCAUAAUUAAAACAACAAUAUAACUUCUUAAUCUCAAUAGUCAAAAUAAUCAAAUUUUAUAUAUAUGCAAUCCACUCUUUGAAAAUAAUGAUCAUUUGAAACAAAGUCCACUCACGAAAAGUACAAAGCUGCUUGACUUGCGGGGGUCCUUCGUGUUGAGUUCGUGGAGCUUGAGUACCUAUUUUACUGAACACGAGGACUUAAUCAAAACGACUAAACCAACCACGAACUUAAAUUCAACUCCCAAGCUCUAGCGAUUCAAAGUGUGUGUGCACGACUAUUGGGGAGUUUCUAAGGCUAAUAUAAUGCUUUUGAAAGGUGGAACGACCUUGGAAGACUCACGGUCAACCAAGUGGCCAAACUUCUCAAAUUGGUCAAUCGGGUCCGUGGGGUCACGACCUCUGAUUUUCGAUCCGAAAAUUCCAACUAGAUCCUAAAGGUAUAGAGAACAACAUAUUUGAAAUUAGGACCGAUUAUCGAACCCGAAUAUUGCAUAAUAUGCGUAAUAUUCGUCUGAUAGUCAAACGAUAACCAAUUCUAAAUCCAAGCAUACCGUCGUGCUAAGGACGAGUUGAGGAGUGUUUUAGAACAUAAUUUGCCGCCACAAAAUGGUCCACGCGCCGGCACCCACUGCCGAUAAUGCGUGGUGUCUUGAGAAAUUUUCAGCAAAAACACCCUACAAUACUUUUGCCAACAGAUUCAGAUUAACUAGGGGGUCAACUUUUGUUCUUGGACCACGGCCAAAAACUAGCCGGAACUAGCUGAAUCGAGCCGAAACCAUCAGCUAAAAUGGGAAUAUUGAACGAUAUGUAAAACCUCCAAAUGAAUCCCAAGAUACCUAUACUAACAGCUAGAGCAUGUUAAGGGGAUGAAGAAUCAUACAUUGGUCGACAUAAACAACCGCUAGAAUUGCAAGAAAUUGCACGAACAUCAUUGGCGAUUAAAUGAGGGUUUUGCAAGGUUUGAGUCCAAAAUCACGACCAAAUUUGGAGUUUUGAAGGUGGAAAUAGGUAUGCAAGUGUAGAGGAGGAAGAGACAAACGUUUUGUGGGUCGUGGUGUCUCCGGCUGUGGCCGGAUGGAGGAGAAAACACCAGCCAAACAGGCCGGUUUGUUUCGGGAAGAAGGAGAGGGUCGCUUAAGCAAGGAGAGAGAAAGUGAGAGAGAUCUGAUCGUUCGUUUUAAAACCCAACUUUGAAAAAAUUAUGGUUGUGCAACUACACUUCCGUAGACCACAACUUCUUUAUUUAAACUCGGAUUUGGACCUACUACGUGUCUACGAACUCGUGAGAGCGAGCUCUACGCAAUGGUGCCACUCAUUUUCUCAAAAUCCUUCUAGAUCGAAAAGGGACUAAAGUGACCCUACCCCCAAGGGCAAAAUUAUAAAUUCGGAAAUAAAAAUGAAUUGAAUAAAAUGAUUAAAUUAGAUCGAGAUGUUACAAUAUUGUUGUUGUUGUUUUUCUUUAAUUAAUGUAGCCCCCUGGUUCCUCCCUUUUUUUUUUUUUUUUUUUUUUUAGUGUAAGUUGUUUUUUUAUAUAAUUGUAACGACACUAAGAAAGAUACCAACUCACCACACAACUUAAAAAACAGAAGCUAAUUUAUAAGAAAAUAACUAAACAGAAAAGAAAACAAAGACGUCACAUAUUGUAAUUUUUAAAUAUAUAUUUUCUUACAAGCAAAAAAAUUCUAAAAAAAGAAACUUAAAUUUUUAUUUAAGUUAAACUUUAUAUAUAUAUAUAUAUUAUUGUUAAUUUUAAUUUUAAAGAAACAAAAACUUAAAAUUACUAAAAUAAUAAUAACAAAACAAGUAAAGAGAAAACAAAAUAAGAAUUAUUGUAUCACUCGUGUAUCACCAUGGUAUCACCACGUUAUCACUAUGGUGUCACCUGUUUAUCACGUUUUAGGUCAGAGAUGAAUUUAUGAACUUCCACUAUUUUUCAGUUUCAACCUUUGUCCCAUUUUGGACCUAUAACUUUCUAACCAUUAAUCCAGAUUUUAUGUUCUUUAUAUGGUUGGAUUCAGAAUGACAAAAUGGAGAACUCAGCGAGGACCGAAUGGUAAAAUUAGUUACAGAAGUGUACAUAAUUCAUUAAAACGAACAGUUAAAGUUUUGACACAAGAAAAACAAAGCAAAAAAACAUUCCCACCAAGAACUUAAAUGAAACAUUGUCCUUAAUGUUGAAAAGAGUAAAAUCAUAUCAUGCAAUGUAUCAUAAGGCCAAGGGACGAAACAAAGCAAAAUAAAAUUAAAACAAAAACUUAAAUUACUUAAAACUAAACAAGCAAAGAGGAAUGAUUGAAAAUUAAUACUCCCCUUUGAAGCAAUUAGACCAAGCAUGGAUGCAUUUGGAGGUCGCUUGGAGGUCGCGACUUCUCCCAAUACCCCACACUUCCCAUCCUUAUGAUUGGAGUUGCCUUCUCUCUUUCCCCUUUUUUAUUGGGCUAUCCUAGAUUGCUAAAACGAACACAGAAAACUUAAAACAGAAUUAAAAGAAUUAGGAAGGAAAAAUUAAUAUGAAAAGUAAAGCAAGUAGGGAAACAAAAUAAAACCAAACUAUGCUACCAAUCCCCGACAAAGGAGCCAAAAACUUCUUGUGUCGAUUCAGCUGCACCAAAGUUGAUUUAGCUACAUCCUCAACUUGUGAUAUUCGCAAGUGCAUGAACCGUUGGAUAGUAUAGUAUAUGUAAGUGCAAGGUCAAUCCCACAAGGAUUGAUGAUAGAUUGAUUCAAUUCGAUUCCCUGCAUAAAACAAAAAUGGAAACAAGGUUUAAAGAUUAUUGAGAAGAGUACAAGAAUUGAAAACUUAAAGUUUAAUCAAACAAAGAAGAAAGGCUCUAAAACUGGUUUUGGGUUUAAAAACAAUUCUAGGACACUAGGGAACAAUCCAAUUCUAAGUCUCAAGCAAUUAAGUGAAUAAGUUCAGUUCAGAUUCACAGAUUGAUUCUAGCUAAAGUAUGAGUAAGCCAUGGUAUCUAGUUCUAACCUUGAAUUCCUAAUUACCUAAUUAAGUCCUUGUUGUCGAACCUAAAUUAAGCAUUAGAAAUCCGUUAAGUAUAGAAGAAUGUUAUAAACAACCAAACAUAUGAAUGAUUUGUUUUGUUUUUCUUGUGUCAAUCUUGACAGGAUCAUAAUUACUUCAACUAAGAUAGCUAACAUACAAGUUUUAAUGGUGAUCAAUAAUUCAAACAAGCAUAUUAACUUAUAAGCAUAUGAAUGAUGUAGGACGAAAUAUGGGUCAAUUAUGGUGUGAAAAAUUAAUUAAAAUAAAGUGGCUCAAAGUUGGAAGGAAAUCGUGCAAGAGAGGAAAAUUCCAAUUAAAUGUCAAUUAUGGCACUAGGAAAAGAAGGAAGGCGUAUCGUUGGGAUUUUCUAAUUGAUUGAGCAAGUUUGAAGUAAUUAUGAUCCUGUCAAGAUUUAUAUUUAAUCUAUAUUUUGAAGAAUAAGUUAUCUAUUAGGAUAUUAUUUUCCUAAUAUGAUUUUUAUUAUUUUCUUAUUAGCUAAAUUUAGGAAUAUUCUAGAAGCUAGGGUUUCCUACAGUUUUAGGGUUUCUUUGUUUUCUAUUUAAGCCAACUCAUGGCAUUUAUUUGUGAGUUGAUUCAUCUUAUUUUCAAUCAAUAUUGAUUCAUCUUAUUUUCAAUCAAUAUAUUUGAGGUUUACUCAAUUUCUCUAGUUGAUUCCAGUUUGUUGGUGGAUUCCGACAUUGUUACUUAUAGGGUUAUCAUUCGAUCUUCCUAUCCUUUAUAUCUCGAUGCGUCAAUGAAUAAGAACAAGAACUAUAAUUGAAACUUGAAAACUAAUCAAACUUGAAAACUUAAAAUAAGAAAUUACGUAACAAUGAAAAAUAAAAUACAAUUAAGAAAAACAUAAAGAAAAAUCUAGCAAAAGAGUUUUAUUACAACAAUUGAGAAUUUAAAAUGAAAACUAAGAGAAGAAAAACUAAAAUAGUAGAUGCCCCUAGAUCCUUGCCUUCGGCUCCCCAUGGUCUCUAAUUCUAACUCUAUUUGGUGCCCAAAGUCUUGCACAACUUCUGCACACCUUUCAUACCUUAUUCUCUCUGCCGUAGCUCUCUAUUUAUAGAGAAUGAAAAUCUCUUGUAGCAGCACAUUUCCAUGUGGAUGUACGGUACAUUUCCAUGCCUAAGUCCUCAAAUAGUCUAUCUUGCUGCAUAUCAAACUUUCUUCAUGUGCUGGCUGCUGCACUUUUAAUUCAUCCACCUGUUACGGCAGCCUUUGCUUGCCUUUGGCAUUUGCAAACCUCCAAGAGGUUUUGCUGCCAACGUUCUUCUUUCAUUUCUUUGCAUUAUUCUUUCUCCUUUUGGUUGCUGCCCAUUCCUCUUUCUUUUCUUUAUCUUUCUCUGCUCAUCACGUGUUGGCAUAUUGGCAUUUUGUGUCAGCCAACAUCAUUCUUUAUACUUCUUCCUAUUCUUUUUCAUUUGCUGUCUGCACACAUGGUGGGCUGCUGCCCAAAGUUGCUCCCUUCAAUCUUUCCAACUCAUAUUUGCAUAGAAAAUUCCACCUUUUCUCCUCUAUUACAAUUGGUUUUAAUACAUUAAGAGGAAUUCUUUCAACUUUAAAAAUCUGAAAACCAAACUUCAUAAUGUAAAACAAUGUUACCAAGAGGUGUGGUAACAAGCAGAAAAAGAGGUAGCACACAAAUGACUCUACAAUAGGAUUAAAGCUCCCAAUGUAUGCUAGAGAGAGAGAGAGAGAGAGAGAGAGAGAGAGAGAGAGAGAGAGAGAGAGAGAGAGCAAAAGGCCCAAGAAGGGCAAAGAUGACUCCAAGUAAUUUUGCCUAAAACAAAAUUAUGCCUAUCUGUCGAUUCCAUGCAGAAAACGGGCUUGACAAAAACUAGAUUAUCUCUUUCCAAUUAAAGUCAUGUGGAGCCUUGAAAUUUCCAACUAAUAUUAAGAUUCUGUGCCUGUCGAUCUACUGCACAUGUGCCACAGUUAAGCUGCCAUUAGCAAAGUCCUUCGGAAAGCACCAUAUAAAAAAUGGCGGUGUUAUCAGCUUUAAAGCAUGUAUCUCUUGGGGCGUCUAUAGCCUCUAAGAUUUUACAUUUAUUACUAUCUUCCUUAGUUUCCAUUUCCACGUUCACUUUUGAUCGAUCCUGGUUGUAGUCGUGUAUUUGUGUUGUAAGUUGUGAUCACAAGAAGGAGGUCCUAAUUUUCUUAUAUUCUUUUCUCAUAAGGAAAAGAACAGUGUGCUCCUAUUAAAGACCAAAGAAAAAAAGAGCAUUAGAAAAAGAAAAGAUGACGGAGAAGGUGACUGUGAGCGUAAGGGAGUCAACGAUGGUGAGGCCUGCCGAGGAGUCGACGCCUCGGGGCUCACUGUGGCUCUCCAACUCGGACCUAGCAUUCACACCCUUUCACACGUCCUCUGUUUACUUUUAUAGAACAAGCGGUGAGCUCAACUUCUUUGAUCGGAGAGUGCUCAAGCAAGCGCUCAGCAAGGUCCUCGUGCCCUUCUGCCCCAUGGCCGGUCGAUUCAAGCUAAAUGACCAGAAUGGCCGUGGGGAGAUUGAUUGCAAUGCGGAGGGAGUGCUUUUUGUUGUGGCAGAGAGCAACUCUGUCGUUGAUGAUUUUGGCGAUUUUGCGCCCACUUCCGAUUUCCUUAAGCUCAUCCCCGCCGUGGAAUACUCGGUUGGAAUAUCCUCAUAUCCCCUUUUGGUGUUACAGGUAUUUAAUAAUGAUCAUCCAAGGUCUUUUAUAUUUUGUAAAAUUUGUAUAUGUAUAUACUUAUAUUCUCGUUGCACGCGCGUUACUCAUUGCAUCAUUUUGAUCUAGUUUUGGAACCGAAUAAGAUGUUUCAUUGAAUUUUGUCAUUUUAAAUUAUCAAGUCCUAGGUCACUCUCGUUCGCCUCUGCGGUCUCGUCAUGCUCCAAGUACCAUCGAAACACCACUUUUAACUCUUCUACUCUCCAUCAGAAAACUUUUGUUCUAUUUUGAAGCAUAUAUGUUGUCUGCAAAAUCCAAACCCACUCACAUGUCAUCAGAAACCCAAAUUCUGCAAUUUUGAGCAAUUGCAACUUCAAAUCCAAUCCAGUCUUUCCGAAUCAUCCCAACCCAUCUCUAUAUUAACGUAUUUCUCUUAAUUUUAAGUCAAGUUCAGUAAUAACAAACAUUUUCUAUUUGCAUCUCUGUACCAAAAGCUGUGGUUCUUUUCUGGUCACACAACCUGUGGUGCUUGAGAGAGAGAGAGAGAGAGAGAGAGAGAGAGAGAGAGAGAGAUUACCAGUAACCAUAUAUUUAUAUAUGGUUGUGUUUUAAUUUCUACGUAUAUAUGCAAACGCAGGUUACGUACUUCAAAUGUGGUGGUGUGUCGCUGUUGGAGUGGACCACCGCAUUGCAGAUGGAGCAUCUAGUCUACACUUCGUAAAUACAUGGUCUGAUAUUGCUCGUGAUGAUCUCUCAAAUAUUAAACCACCCUUCAUGAACAGGAUGUUACUUUGUGCUCGAGAUGCACCUCAGCCAGCAUUUCCUCACGUUGAAUAUCAACCUUUUCCACAAAUGAAAUUAGCUUCUGAUCAUCUGGAAAGCACAAGUAAUACUACUGCCUCGAUUUUUAGAUUUACGCGGGAGCAGCUCAACAUCUUGAAAGCCAACUCUGCGGAAGAUGACGGCGGGAAUAUUAAUACAAUCAAGUAUAGCACAUUUGAGGUGUUGGCAGGGCAUAUUUGGAGAUGUGCUUGCAAGGCACGUAAACUGCCAGAUGAUCAAGACACCAAAGUACUCAUUCCCAUUGAUGGACGGUCUAGAUUGCAACCCCCACUCCCACCCGGUUUCUUUGGCAAUGUCAUUUUUAGAGCCACACAUAUUGCUGCAGCAGGGGAUCUCCAGUCCAAACCAACAUGGUAUGCUGCAAGCUGUGUUCAUAAUGCUUUGGUCCAGAUUGAUGAUGAUUAUCUCAGAUCAGCCGUUGACUAUCUUGAGCUUCAUCGUCCUUGUGUUUCCCCACUUGUUAUGGGGGCCCUGUUGAUCAGGUGCCCGAAUCUUUGGAUAAACAGUUGGGUUAGGCUGCCGAUUCACGACGCUGAUUUUGGUUGGGGUCGACCCAUUUUCAUGGGGCCUGGCACACUAUUUGACGGGAUGGCUUUGUUGUUACCAAGCGCAACUAAUGAUGGGAGUUUAUCCCUGAUGAUUUCUCUGCAUUCUGAACACUUGAAAUCAUUUUCCAAGUUGUUGUAUGACAUAUGAGGAAAUGUCACGGUUGAAGAAAUUUGGUGCUGUCUGGUUUGAAUUGCUGUUAUUCCCCUCAUCUUUAUGGGUGUUCAAAUUUGAAGUUGUGUAUUGGUUCGUGCACGUUGCUUGAUUGAGUAUUGAAACUUUUUUUUUUUCGAAAGUAUGGUGGACUUCUUGUCCACAAUGCUGGUUGUGUUAUAUUGUGAUUCUUAAUAGAGGAUUCUCUUUCUCAUGAAAUUAAAAGAACAUUGGAACCAAAAGAGUAGGAGUCAUAAAGAGGUUCGAAAAUUUUGUAAAGAGAUUACCAAAAUAAUUAGAAAUCUGAACACCCCUCAAAGGUUACAAAACUCUUAUUUCUAGGCCUAUAGAUACAUCCGUUAAUGAUUGUACUUGCAGAACAUACAUUCCUAAUGUAAAAAUCGCUAUUAAUGAUUGUAUGUUCAAAAUGCAAAUUUAAACCAAGUAAUGAAUGUACAAUACGAAUAGACACUGUACAAUCAAGUAUGUUAUAUGAUUCAUAAUGCACUAUUACCUCUAUGAAUUUUGGCAUCUUUAUAUUAGAACAAUAUGAACUUUGGUUCGUAUCUAAAUGUAGUGUUAAAUUACAAAAUGGGCAUGGUCGGACCUCUUUAUUUUUGGACCUGCUUAGGCGUGGAUAAAGGUUAUCUGGGCUUUAUUUUUGGCCUUACUAGUUAUUUGCUUUUUUGUUGGGAGACCUUACUUUUAUUUGGUGUUAACAGAAGCCCCCUAAGUCCUAAAUUUGGUAUCAACAGAAGCCCCAUAAGUCUAAAAUUUGGUGUCAACUGAAGCCUCCUAAGUCUUAACUUUGGUGUCAACAGAAGCCCCCUAAGUCCUAAAUUUAGUGUCAACCACACCACUCUUUUCGAUCCAAUAUGAAGUCUUAAAUUGGUCAACCACGCCAAAACCCCAAGGAGUAAAAUACUCCUUCAAGUUCUGUUAGAGAUUCCUAUAUAAAGACUGCUCAAAGUCAAUACGAACACAUUUUUUAUUUUUUUUGGUCUGAAACUCAUCUUCAAAGAUUACACAUAACUCAUUUAAAAAAAUCUUGACAUAUUAUCUUUUAUUCAAAAACAUAUUUCUAAAUAGAUUCCAAAGAUUUCAGAGAUUUCCAAUGAGAUUACUCAGAGACUUCAAAUCAUAUAGGUCACAAUAGCCACUUAUUUCCAAUAUGAUUACGAAUUCGAGUCUAACUUCCCCAAUUGACGCAUAUUGUUAGAGGGCAAUGUGGUCCACCCGUCGUCCCUUUAGGCCUACCGCAUGAGUGCAAAAUGGGCAUGAUCGGGCCUCUUUGUUUAGGGCUUUCUUAGGUGUGGAUAAAGGUUUUAUGCGCUUUACUUUUGGCCUUUUGAUUCCAAUCAAUUACUUUAAGUGAUAGGCCCGCAAUUGACCUACCAUUUCCUCUCAGCUGGUUGCGUUGCUUGCCUCUUAGGGUACCUCCCAUCUUCCUGUUCAAAUUCUGGUUAUCGAAACAAUUCCAAUUUCAAAAACUUAUAUGGCGUUAAGUUUGGUGUCAACAAUGGAGUUUUGAUUUUAUGUUGCAUGUUUAAUAAUUCUUUAUUAUAUAUAUAUAUAAACAAAUGCUCAUGAGUCCUAGUUUUAAAUUUUCUAUCAAUAUAUAUGGUCUAAUUCUUUUUACAGUAUUUCAUUAAAGACUUAGGAGGCCCAUUAUUCAUUUUGUAUAUAAGCCUUAAAAUCUCAGAGCCGCCGGUGCAUAAAGUAAAGACAUUCAAAUCGGAAUUAUAACUAUUGGCUUAAUGUCAAUUUUCCUACCCUUUUCCCAGAGGGGCAUUGUGGAGACAAAAAUAUCACCAGUCAUGCCCUCACUCAAUCCGCACACAAAACAUGAAAGUAAUCUUAUGUGGAAAACUAGCAAUUGAACUUGUGAAAAAAUAGUGAAUGGACUUGGAUCAACAAUGCCAAAAAAAAAAAAAAAAAAAAUGUAUGCUGCUAAGCAACAAUGCUAUUAUUUAGGAGUGGUUGCGGUUCGGUAACCGCGAAUUUUUCUUUGAACCGCAAACCGAUAUACUAUUUCCGGUAAGGUGAUUUUUGAAAUUGCAAACCGACCGCAUUUUGCGGUUUACCGCAAACCGCAAAAAUCGGUUGAUUACCGUGAAUUAACGGUUUAAACCUAUUUGAAUAUUUUGGGCCUAAAUUAGACAAUUUUAGAUCUUUAAGUGUGGUCCUUUUGUGUCAAAAAAAUUCAAUCUUCCACACUUUUAAGCCUAGGUUUGAUGCUUCUUUUGAAGCUUUUUGAGUUCAAGCAUACGUUAACCAAAAAAUAUAAAUCACAACCUAAAGAAAUAAAUUCAUGACCUCAACUUCUCAAGCAUAUAUAAAUUUACAACCUAAAGAAAUAAAUUCACAACCUCAACAUCUCAAGCAUAUAUAAAUUCACAACCUCAACCUCAACUUCUCGAGCAUUCACAACCUAAAGAAAAAUCCAAUUCAAAGUUAAUUAAAGUUAGAAACCAAAAAGAAAAUGCAAUGCAAAAUGAAUUAAAGUUACAACCCAAAGGAAAAAUCCAAUUCAAAGUUAAUUAAAGUUAGAAACCAAAAGGAAAAUGCAAUGCAAAAUGAAUUAAAGUUACAAUCCAAAGGGAAAAUCCAAUUCAAAGUUAAUUAAAGUUACAAACCAAAAGGAGUGUAGGUGGUGGUGAGUGGAUUUUAUUAUAAGAAGAAACCAUUCUUUAUGAGUUGGAGUGGAGGCUGUGUUUUGGGUGUAUCGGUUUGUGUUUGGGGGGAUUAGAGGCAUUAUGUGUGUUAGAGUGGCUAGACUCCAACUAUAACACAACACAACACAAAAGCAACAACAUAAAAGCAUAUUAAUAACAUAUUAAACUCAACCAAAUUAAAACACAACAUCUAACUACUAAAAUGCAACUUUUUUUAAAAAAAUAUUUGCGGUUUGCGAUAACCACGAGUUGCUAAAAUCACAUACCGCAACUGCAACCGCAAUUUUCAGUUGGUUUUUAGCUAUUGCGGUAUAAUGUCGGUUGAUUUUUGCGGUUUUUCGGUAUAACAUGCCACCCCUACUAUUACUAGUAAAAGUGCCACCGAAAAUAUUAUCAGCACCUGUAUGUUGCUUUGCUCUUACUUGAAAAAAAAAAUACAUGAGAGUCAAACAAGGACUAAUAAGGGGCAAAGACCUAUCCCAAAUGACUAUUUUUUAUUACGAAAGAUUCAUCCCAAUAAUAAGUAAUUGCAUAUUAGGGGUGUUGUUAGAAGCACGUUAAAUUUUGUAUUGAAAAUUAAAGUGCAUUAUGGAAAAGCUCUUGAAAUUGUGAGAGUGAUUUAAGACUCAUAAUCAUUUUUAAAAUUUUCUUGCCGAGUAUGUCAAUAACGUCUUUCAUUGUGAGAAAAUGGUUUUAGUCGUUCCAUAACAAUGCCUAACAAAUGUGAAAUUGGUACUUAGGUGACGAGGGGUAAAGUUAAAUGCUAUUCAAGCGGACACAGCGAUCUUCACACACUUUAAACCUUGACCAAAUAUACUUAUGACUAGUCAAUUGCUAGUCUUGAAAAACCAUAACCAAAAACACACAUAGAGCAUAACAAUCUGUACUUGCAAGUUUAGAAGAUUAUUAGUGACAACCUAGGCACUUAGAAUGUAACACCCCGAGUCCAAAUUUAAUUCCUAUUUUAAAUUAUUUAAAUGAAUUUACGAAUUUACCCUUAGGGUAGGGGUAAAUUGGUCAAUUUCUUACCCAGAAAGUGUUUGGGGCAGUAACUGGUAUUUUUGGGUAGGUGGUACUAAGACGAAUUCAAAGACACGCGGUAGGCUUGAAUCGGAGUUGUAACGAAGAAGUUACGGGCAAAACACUAUCAGUGGCAAAAUCGUAAAUAUUUUGAAGUUUGGGUUUAAAAUAUCUGAUCUCUCUCCCUCUCUCUCUCUCUCUCUCUCUCUCUCUCUCUCUCUCUCGCGGCUGAACCCCCCUCCCCGUUUCGAUUUUUCGCCGGAAUUUCAGACGGCGAGAACUUCGCCGUCCGACCUCCAUUUCAGGCCCCGUUUCUUGCAAAAGCUUCCUCUCUUCCUCCUCUACCCAACCCACCCCUUUUCUCCGAUCGAAAACCCGACAAACGGCGGUGGCAACGACGUGAAAAAUAGCCAAAACUGCCGACGUCACCGGCAACGUUUCCGGCCAUCGCGAGCUGCGCCGUCACUUGGAACAGGUAGCUCUCCUUCCCUUCCAGCUGUUUCCUAGGUUGUGCGAUGACAAUGUCCACGGUGGUCGUCAGAUCGAAGCCGUGAAGUUCUGGGUUAAACCGUGAGUUUUCAACGCCGAUUCCGGCCCCUUGCCGUCCGAAUUGGACUUGGGUGUAGUUGAAUAAAGUGUUCCACUCGUCGAGUAGAACCUGUAGCCGGAAGGGUGGCUUGUAGUUUGGAGAUUUUCUAGCGAAGCUUUAUCGCUUUGGACACCCACACGCUGCCGGCACGUGGGCACUGUAGCAGAGGGGCAUUAUUGUCCCAAUGCGACCUCCUGGUUGGCACGAGCACGUAGGAUUUUGCGGAUCUCAAUUCGGACAUCGUUUGACUAUCGAACGAAUUUUUGCAUAUUGUGCGUUAUCCGGGUUCGAUAGGUUCCGACCGUUAGAUCCUUUCCGAAUUAAAAUAUGUUAUUCUAGGUAUUCCUAGGAUCGUAUAAGAAUUCUCGGAUCGUGAAUCGGAACCCCGGAUGUUCCGAUUCAAUAACUUAAAGUUUGCGUUUUAUAAUAACCGUCCGAUUGUGCGAUCGUAAGCCAUCUAACUGUCCGUUUCGGACCAAACUUGCGAGACGGGUAUCUUAGACCUUGUGAAACCUUUAGGAACUUUCGGGUUGUAAAACGGAGGUCGUGGGUCCCGUGGGCCCGGUUGACCCAAAUUGGGAAGUUUGACCACUGGUUGACCGAGUGUCUCCUGAAGUUAUUCCAUCGUCCAAAUCGGGUAGUUGGAUCUUAGAACGUCUCGUUCCUAGUACACUUACUAGAAACCUGGGAAAUUAGGAUAUUUAAUUUAAAGUACUCGUUCGAAACGUUUCGUAUUAAUCUCGUAUACGUAUUCUGAAUUAGGUACUCCGACUACGCAUACACAGCAGGCGGGACCCUCUCAGGGUCAAGCAGCGUGGGACUACUUGUGAGUGGACUUUGUUUUCAAAUCUUGUGCAUGGUUUUAUUGAUGAAAGAUUUAUGCAUAAUGUUUUUAAUGAUUUAUUGAAUAUAUUAUAUUCAUGAGUUGAAUUUGAUGUUUGUAUAGUGCUUUGGCAUAGUUGGGUAUUGAAAGUAUAUUUUAUAUGAAUUUUGGGAAAUAUUAUGUAUGAUGUUUUAAAUGGUAUUUUGGAUAUAUUAUUUAUGAAAUUGUUGAAAGUGAUAUUUUUAUGAGGCAUUGAAAAUAUAUUUUGGGUUUUGACGUAUUUGAGUAUCUUGAGUAUGAAUAUAUGGAUUUUGGGGAUUUCUAUAUAUAUUUGGCUAUGUGUGAGGUACUUGGGUUGUUGAGAUGAGAUUAUGGAAAGUGGUCAGUAUAGAAUGUCAGUUUGGUGUGCUGUAAGCACUACCCUAUGUACCUCCCCGGAUGUGGAACUUGGAUACGGAGACUUGAGAUACUUGGAAUUGUCGGGACUCGGGGCAUCCUUGACGGGAUGUUGCUGUAGACCCUUAAUUGGGUAGUCUGCGCUCGUAGGACUGAUCACAGACGUACGGAUUUUGAGGUUAUCGGCAGUACGCGCUGGCUGAGAGUUGGUCCCCCAGUUGGACAGCUCGUUCCCUAGUCACAUGGUGGAUUGAGGACUCAUCACGAGGACUCUGCCAGGGUGACUAGUCAAACAAUCCCCCGGUUGGAUUGUUUCCCCGGUACAACUAGGUGAUGGUUAUAUUUAUACUAUAUAUAUAUAUAUCUCUCUUAUAUUAUAUAUUUAUAUCUAUUCAUUCAUUCUUGUUUUUCGGUGUGGAUACUUCCUUGCCGGUCGUGCCAAUGGGUACGCUUUCGAGAGUUUGGUUGUGGGAUUUAUAAGUUUUUGGAUAGUAGGUUUUGUGAAGCGUUCGUUUUGGAUUUCGGACUUGGAAUCUGGUAUUGAUUUGUUUUGUUAUAUUAUAUAUAUAUAUAUACUUGAGUAUGACGGUUUUGAGAUGCAUGGGAUUUCUUGCAUGGUUUUCUAAACGGUGGGGUUAUAUUACGUUGGUUUACACUGAACUGAAUUUAUUUUUGUCUACUCACAAUUUUCUGUUUUGCGCCCCCCCAGCCAGUAGUUGACUGAGCUCCGCAGUAGAGCCGGAUCGUGCGCUUCCGAGCCUUGAGUCAUCGUAGGACUCUUUCUUCAUGUUAUUUCCUUUGUACUCUGUUUUGUUGUAAUUAAAGUCCUUAGACAUGCUCUGUUAUCGCCCCUGUUAGGGUUUGAAUUGUGAGGUCGGAGGCCAUUUUGUUGUAAACUGUUUAUUCGUUUCAAAGCAUGCUGCUGGUUAGGAUUAUUCUGUAUUUUUAUGCAGGUUGAAUUUUGUUGGUUUGUUCAAUUCACAGGGGAGACUCUGCCAAAAUUUUGGUGGAGAGUCUCGGUUUUUAGUAAGUGGGCCCGGCAUCGGGAAGAUGUCGGAAUAAAGAUGGGAUUCGCUCCGGUCUCCGGGGAAAUUCCGGGGCGGGUCCUGUCAUAGAAGGACCCGUUAAUCUAGGCAUCCCCUGUGCUAGCAACACUAUGGUAAAAGUGUGUGGAAACAUCAUAAUCAAGUAAACAGCAAAUAACAGAUAAUGAUGACUAGUCAACCGCAAGAACACAAACCCAUAAAUGCAUGAAUAUCAUGCGAUGACUAGUCAACUAUCAAGAACAUAAACCCAGAAAAUAACAAAGCUGCAAACCAAAAAUUGUUCACCCACAAACCUACAACUGGGAAAAACUGGGGGUCAUCAACAGACCAGGCAAUCCUCUAAGCGAAGAAAAUUCUUACAAAGGAACACAAGCAAGCUCAAAAAAUCCUAGAUCUAUUUAGGAAGAUAAGCUAUACCUCCUUUGUGCAAUCUUCUUAUCCAACUUAACAAAACCAGUAGCUUAUUCCUUCAUGGCAAUGGUAGCUCCUUCUUCGGCUCUUUCAUCACAGGGCACCAGCUAGCCAGCUCAAAUUCAGAUAGAAACCAAAAUUUGGAUUCAAGGAAAAAUGAUCAAUUUUUUCAAGAAACCAUGCUCUUGAAGAAAUCAAUCUUGAAUCUGACCAAGAUGUAUAUGAGGAUGUGUUUGUUGUGUAUCAUGCUUGUUGCAUAAUUCAGCUUGUCUAUGGGGAUAAUGGGUCAUUUAUGUAUCAUCAUGGAUAUGGUUAUGCACCAUAUGACACAUAUGCAACAUCUCUGUUAAAUUUACUUUUGAAUGUCAAUGUCCCUUCCAAUUAUGUUUAAAAUUCAGGACCUUGAGAAAACACCUCUUAUGUGAGAAACUUUUUUCUAUCCUGACAUCAUUGUGUAUCAUGUUUGUUGCAUAUUUCAGGCUGUUUAUGGGGAUAUUGGGUCAUUUAUGUGUCAUUUCAAGCGUAUAUGGGGUAACUUCACUUCAUCUUUUUUUUAAAAAAAAAAUGUUCCUCACCCCUCUGCCUCCCCCUUUAUUCAAAACAAGGGCAACCAUUAUCCCAUUUCAACCUCUCACAACUAGAGCUAAGCUAAAGCACAAGGGAAUUUUGCAAAGAGGUAUAUUUAAUAUGUGCAGCUUAUUUUAAUUUUGGCUAUUUAAUUUGGGAAUUUUAGGAGCUUAGUUUGAUUUGUAUUGUGUUUAUUUAAUUUGUGCAGCCUUGGUUUAAAGCUUUGGUUGCCUUUGCGAUUCGACAAGGAUUGAUUUCGUGAUUGCUGUGAAAGUAAUCAAAUAUAAAAAAAAAGAAAAAGAAAAAGAAAUUGCUUAAACACGUUUGGUACUUGGGCAUUUUUUGUUGAGUCUAAAUGUUAAAUUGCGACUUCUUUUUUUCUUUUUGGUUUAAUAUUGGAAUUUUAGCAGCUUGGUUUUAUUUUUAUUAUGUUCAUUUAAUUUGUGUAGGCCCUUGUGUAAAGCUUUGGUUCCCUUGACAAUUCAAAUAUGAAGAGUUGUUCCUAGGAACUUAUAGUAAUUUUACGUAUAUUUUUAUGACUUUUAAAAAUUAUAAAUUUUACAAAUAACAGAGAAAUGACAUGUCAUAAUUGCAAUGCUACAUCAGUACUUGUUUGCCACCAAAAUUUCGUAAACGCUUCAAAAGGAUUCGCUAGAGCUUCAACAUUGCUUCAUCUACUAUUCACUAAAGCUUCAUAAUAUUAUUUUUAUUUUUGGCUUAAGUGUCAAAAUGGUCCAUGUGUUUUAACACAAUGGCCAAUUUAAUCCCUGUGUUUUUAAUUUGGCCAAUUCGGUCCUUGUGUUUAUGAUCAUUAGCUAAUUUAGUCCAUCCAGUUAAAAUAGUCGUUAAAUAUGAACAUGAUUGGUUUUUUUUUUUUUUGAAAACGUAUAAAGCUUUUUUAAAUUAAAAAAAGUUGAAUUGAUUUAAAAAUAUUAAAACUUCAAUUAAACUAACAUAACAUUAGGGAAAAAAAAAACUUGAAAAAAUGAAGGAGGCGUAGUCCGGGGAGGGGAAGGGCUGCUUAAUGAGUGGAGUAGUGGGAAGAGGGGUUGACCAUUGCAGGGUGGGGGUGGGUGAUGAAUGAAGGCAUACAACAGAAGAGGGAGAGAUGGGGGUUGGAGAUGGUGUGAACGAUCUGGGAGCCAUGACUGAGGAUGGGGCAAAUGGCUAGGCAAGGGUUAGGUUCUGGAAGAUCUUGCUGGGAGCUGGUCAAAUAAGGGUAAAUGGCUAGACAAUGGUUGAACUCAAAUAAUUAUGUUUUUAAUUAAUGUUUAAAUAGUUUUAAAUUUUUUUAAACUUAGAUUUAAAAGAAUAGAUCACAUUGAUUAAUAGUUGUAAACACAAGGACUUAAUUAGCUAAAUUAGAAACACAUGGACUAAAUUGACCAACGUAAUAAAACACAGGGUCCAUUUUAGCAUUUAAGCCUUUAUUUUUUGACUAAGUCUUCAUUAGUGCUUUUAUGAAUGUUUUAAGAUGAACUCAAAAGACUUGGAAAGUGUAGCACUGAGUUUGUAGAAUUUUUUGUUCUGUAGUUUUUGGCUAUUUAAUGAAUUAUUAUGAUUUUUAGAAGAGUGCACCAUGAGUGCUUCUGACAAGCGACAUUUCGUGUAGCGCCACGUGUCAACAAGGUUUUAUUUUGUGUUUGUUUAUCUUUAAAAAUUCACAAACAAUUAAUUUUUAAAAAAAAUCCUUAAUAUCUACAAAUUUUAUGUGACAUUAUCUUCGACUAUGAUGUGCAAAAAUCAAAAUUUGACUUUAGAAAAUUUGAAUUAAUAAUUCCAGGAAGAGUUGUAGUGAGGGAGUUUGAGUUUGAUAAAGUAUUUGAAACUUUUUUUAUCUCAAAAUAUAUUUUAAUGCUUAAAAGAUGAAGAAAAAAUCAAAAGGAGUUCGUAGGAUUUUUCGGUACAUAUUUAUGAUUUUUGGAAAUUAAAGCAUCGAAAAAUAGUAAUAAAUGGAAGAGAAUGACAAGUGGAAGCACCUAAAUGUUGCAUCAUCAAUGCUUCAGACAGGUAUCAUUCUCACGUAACACCACAAGUCAUCAGCGAUAGCACUUCUCAUUCUCUUCCAUUUAUUACUAUUUUCCAAUGCUUUAACUUCAAAAAAGUCAUAAUAAAUCAGAAAAAUACACCAACAAAUCCUAUGAAAUCAUUGCAACAUUUUUUUUUUCAUCUUUUAUGUUUUAAAAUAUAACUUUGACUUAUAUAAAAUUCAAAUAAUUUCACAAAGUCAAGUUGCUUCCAUACUAACAAUAACACUAAGUUGAAGAUCACUAGUCUUCAUCACUACAACUCUUCCUCCAAUUAUUCUUUCCAAUUUCUCAAAGUCAAAUUUUGAUUUUCUAGUAUCCUAGUCGAAGAUAAUGUCACAAGGAAUUUGUAGGAAUUUUCAGUGUAUUUUUCUAAUUUUUAAAUAAUUUUCUGUGAAUUUUUUAAGAUAAACUCACAAAAAUGAAACAUGAAUUACACGUGGACCUAUGAGAUAUUGACACCCGUUGGAAAAUCUGACGACGAACCCAUCAGCUGCUGCCAUGUGUCAUUAUGUUUCAUUUAUUACUAUUUUCCUAUAUUUUGACUUCCAAAAAUCAUAAUAAAUUCAUAAUAAAUUUGAAAAAUUCACCAAAAAAUGCCUCGGACUCCUUGUGAUAUUUCCAACAUCUUUUGAGACUUAAAAUACAAUUUUAACUUAGAGAAGAAUUCAAAUAAUUUCAUAAAGUCGAGUUUGCUUCCACACUAACAAUAAUACUAAAUUGAAGGAUCACUAGUCUUCAUCAAUACAACUCUCCUUCCAAUUAUUCCUUCAAAUUUCUCAAAGUCAAAUUUUGAUUUUCGAGUAUCAUAGUUGAAGAUAAUGUCGCAAGGAAUUUGUAGAAAUUUUCGGUGUAUUUUUCUGAUUUUUUAAAUGAUUUUUUAUGAAUUGUUUAAGAUCAACUCACAAAAAUAAAACAUGAAUGACACGUGGACCUAUGAGAUACUAACACCCAUUGAAAAAGCUGACAAUGCACCCAUCAGCAGCUGCCAUGUGUCAUUAUCUUACAUUUAUUACUAUUUUCCUAUAUUUUGACUUCCAAAAAUCAUAACUAAUUCAUAAUAAAUCUGAAAAAUUCACCAAAAAAUACCCUAGACUCCUUGCGACAUUUCCAACAUCUUUUAGGACUUAAAAUAUAAUUUUGAAUUAGAUAAAAUUCAAAUAAUUUAACAAAGUCAAGUUGCUUCCAUACUAACAAUAACACUAAGUUGAAGAUCACUAGUCCUCAUCACUACAACUCUUCCUCCAAUUAUUACUUCAAAAUUUUCAAUGUCAAAUUUUGAUUUUCGAGUAUCAUGGUCGAAGAUAAUGUCGCAAGGAAUAUGUAGAAAUUUUCAGUGUAUUUUUCCUAUUUUUUAAUGAUUUUUCGUGAAUUUUUUACAAUAAACUUACAAAAAUGAAACAUUAAUGACACGUGACGCUAGGAGAUACUGAAACCUGUUGGAAAAGUUGAAGACACACCCAUCAGGCGCUGCCAUGUGUCAUUUUCUUCCAUUUAUUACUAUUUUCCAAUAUUUUGACUUCCAAAAAUAUAAUAAAUUCAUAAUAAAUCUGAAAAAUUCACCAAACAAAUACCACGGACUCCUUGCGACAUUUCCAACAUUUUUUUAGACUUAAAAUAAAAUUUUGACUAAGACAAAAAUUCAAAUAAUUUCACAAAGUCAAGUUUGCUUCCAUACUAACAAUAAUACUAAGUUGUAAAUCACUAGUCUUCAUCACUAUAACUCUUCCUCCAAUUAUUACUUCAAAUUUUUCAAUGUCAAAUUUUGAUGUUUGAGUAUCGUAGUCGAAGAUAAUGUCGCAAGGAAUAUAUAGAAAUUUUCGGUGUAUUUUUCUGAUUUUUUUUAAUGAUUUUUCAUGAAUUUUUUAAGAUAAACUCACAAAAAUUAAACAUUAAUGAUACAUGGCGCUAUAAGAUAUUGACACCCGUUGGAAAAGCUGAUGAAGCACCCAUCAAGAGCUGCCAUGUGUCAUUUUCUCCCAUUUAUUACUAUUUUCUAAUAUUUUGACUUCCAAAAAUCAUAAUAAAUUCAUAAUAAAUCUGAAAAAUUCACCAAAAAAAUACCCCAGACUCCUUGCCCAGACUCCUUGCGACAUUUUCAACAUCUUUUGAAACUUAAAAUAUAAUUUUGACUAAGAGAAAAAUUCAAAUAAUUUCACAAAGUGAACUUUGCUUCCAUACUAACAAUAACCCUAAGUUGAAGAUCACUAGUCUUUAUCACUACAACUCUUCCUCUAAUUAUUACUUGGAAUUUUUCAUACUCAAAUUUUGGUUUUCGAGUAUGAUAGUCGAAGAUAAUGUCGCAAGGAAUAUGUGGAAAUUUUCGGUGUAUUUUUUUGAUUUUUUAAUAAUUUUUCAUGAUUUUUUUAAGAUAAACUCACCAAAAUGAAACAUUAAUGACACGUGGCGAUAUGAGAUACUAACGCCCAAUGAAAAAGCUGACGAAGCACCCAUCAGGUGCUGGCAUGUGUCAUUCUCUUCCAUUUAUUACUAUUUUUCAAUAUUUUGACUUCCAAAAAUCAUAAUAAAUCUGAAAAUUUUAUCAAAAAAUACCACGGACUCCUUGUGACAUUUCUAACAUUUUUUGAGACUUAAAAUAUAAUUUUGACUAAGAGAAAAAUUCAAAUAAUUUCACAAAGUCAAGUUUGCUUCCAUACUAACAAUAACACUAAGUUGAAGAUCACUGGUCUUCAUCACUACAACUCUUUCUCCAAUUAUUACUUCAAAUUUUUCAAUGUCAAAUUUUGAUUUUCUAGUAUCAUAGUCAAAGAUAAUGUAGCAAGGAAUAUGUAGAAAUUUUUGGUGUAUUUUUUUGAUUUUUUAAAAUGAUUUUUCGUGAAUUUUUUAAGAUAAACUCACAAAAAUAAAACAUUAAUGACACGUGGCGCUAUGAGAUAUUGACACCCGUUGGAAAAGCUAAUGACGCACCCAUCAUGCACUGCCGUGUGUCAUUUUCUUCCAUUUAUUACUGUUUUCCAAUAUUUUGACUUUCAAAAAUCAUAAUAAAUCUGAAAAAUUCACCAAAAAAAUACCCCAGACUCCUUGCGAGAUUUCCAACAUCUUUUGUGACUUAAAAUAUAAUUUUGACUUAGAAAAAAAUUCAAAUAAUUUCUCAAACUCAAGUUUGUUCCUAUAGUACCUAUAACACUAAGUUGAAGAUCAUCACUCUUCCUCACUAUAACUCUUCCUUCAAUUAUUACUCCAAAUUUUCAAAAGUCAAAUUUCAAUUUUCACGCAUCAUAGUUGAAGAUAAUUUCUCAAGGAGUUUUUUAAAAAUUUCAGUGCAUUUUUCAGAUUUUUAUUAAUUUUGUGUAAUUUUUUUAAGUCAAGCACACAAAAAUGAAACUUUGAUGGCACAUGGCACUAUGAGAUACUAACACCUGUCGAAAACUCAUCAUGUGCUACCAUGUGUGAUGCUCUUCCAUUUAUUACUAUUUUUCAAUGCUUUAACUUCCAAAAAUCAUUAAAAAAAAUCUGAAAAAUUCAUAAUAAAAAUCCUAGGAACUCCUUACAAUAUUUUCUUCAUCUUUUAAGUUUUAAAAUAUAAAUUUGACAUAUAAAAAGUUCAAAUAAUUUCUCAAGACAUUAUCACUCGUCAUUUUCCCCCAUUCAUUGCAUUUAAUACGAAUUUUUGAAGUUAAAGCAUAGAAAAUAUAUAAAUAAACUGAACAUAAUGACACAUGGGAACAGAAAAAUGAUGCGACUUCAGUUCUUUAAACGGGUGUCCUCUUAUAGCGCCAUGUGUAAAAAAUGUUUCUUUUUAAUAUUGUUUAGCAAUAAAUGGGAGGAAAUGACAAGUGCGAGUGCCUUGAGGCUGCAUCCUCAAUGCUUCUCACGAGUGUCACUCUCAAUGGCACCAUGCGUCAUUAAAGUUUCAUUUUUGUAUGUUUAUCUUAAAAUUUUUACAAAAAAUUUAUAAAAAAUCAGAAAAAUAAAUGUGUCAGAGCAGUGUUUAUAACACGUGUCAUUGUUGAAUUACACCACGUAUUUCUAGAAUUACUCUAAGUGUAGAAUAAUAUUUCACCAAAUAUAUGGGUUAAAAUAAGUUCCAUUAACAUUUAUACAGUCAAUAGGUGUACAAGAAAGUUAAACUGAGGUUUCACACAUAUUUCACGUAAUAUGCACUAAUGUUUCACUUAGUGUUCAUCCGAACCUAACUUGUGCAAUUAUCGCCAAUUAGAAGAGUCAUAAAGCCUUUAAUUACUCUACACUUCUUCACUGAUCCUUCUGCAACCAAAGAUUUGAAAAAUAACAGAAAUUGUCAACAACAAAAAAAAUUUAUCUAGCGAGAGUCGAACUGCAAAAUCAAAUGGUAACCGUACAACUGAGUUCUUACCUAGCGAGAGUCUAAGUGCACAAUCAAAUAUCCACAGAGAAAAUUGUUGAAGGGGCACAAGACCCAGAUGGGAAAUAUCGAUAAAAUCAAUUAAGUAAAAAAAGAGUUGAGAAACUUGCAAAACUUACUGAGCGGAAGAACAUGGGAAUAUAUAGGAGCAACCAAGAACUUAAAUUGGGAGCCCGUGCUUCUCUUUCUAAUAGCAGCCUCCCUUUCAACAUAUUCAUGUACACAAUUUGAUAUCAAUUACUAAUACAGAGAAUAAAUUUCUAUGAAUUGAAAGGCAAAAUCUAUGUUGUGGGUUUCGCGGAACUUACUGAUUAGAGGGAUUAGACGAUGGGGGCCAGGAGGCCAUGGCGGAAAAAUUUCUGAAGAUGAGAGGAGUGAUGCUUUGUAUAGAAAUGGAAGCAAGGAAAUGGGUAAAUUAAGGGCAUGAUCUGACCUGGUUCCCUAAAGCACCUCACCACCCUGAUUCCCACAUGAAACUACCACGCACCAGACACAAAAAACCAUUGACUCUUAGAAGUUGAUUUACUCCUCCUAAUCAACUGCCCCUCAGCACUUUGGAGAUAGUAAAACCCAGUUUGUUUAGGAUUCCUCUUCAAGAGAAAGGAGCACAUCAUAUGGUGAAUGCUCGGUUCAAAUGAAUUCACUUCAUUCCAUAUCACGUACAUGCUCUGCAACGUCCGAUAAAUGUUCUGAUUCAUCUGGAUGAGGUGCAAUACCCAGCAAUGUCCAAUAAUUCACAUCGUAGUGGCAAGCUUCCAUUCCCACUCUUCAAAAUCUCUCUCUCUCUAUAAGAGCAUUUCCACCAGUUAGCCCCUUGUCAUGACAAGAGGAGCCCUAGGGCAGUUACUAUUCACGUGAAUAGUGGCUGCCCUAGCCCCCUCAGCAAAGUGUGUUUCCAGCAGUUUAGACUUGUCAUGGCAAAUACUAUUCUUUUUUUUUUUCACAACUUUUUUUUACUUAAACAAUUAAUUUGGAUAAUAUUUUCAGAUAAGAUUUUUGGGUUUCUACGUGUCAAUACUAUUCAUAUUAGAUAAUAUUUUCGGAUAAGAUUUUAUUUUAUUAGUUGUAUUGGUUGGUAUUUAUAGGAAAAAAAAAGUAUGAGGAUUUGGUGUUAAAAGUGAAGAGUAUUGGUUAGUAUUUAUAGGCACUGGCGAACCCAAAAUUUUUGUAGCAGAGGUGCAAUAUUGACUAAGUAUGAAAAAUAAUUUUUUGGAAUAAUCAUUUUCUCAAGAUAAUUUUUUGGCAGCUUUUAUUCCUUACACAUCAAUAAAUAAGAAAACUUGAUUUUAUGAAAUUUUAAUAUGAAGUAUACAUUGACUUAAUGAGCCAUCAUUUUUAGCCUAAAUCGUAUUUUGCACUAAAACCGAUUUUUCAUAUUUUGAUUUGAUGAGAAUUUGAUUUUCUAGUAUUUUUAUUUGAAUCCAAAUAGAGGGUACUUCCUUAUUUACAUUGUAAACUUAAGUAAAUGGAGUAAUAUAAAAAUAAAUGAAAAUAAAAGGACAAAGACAUUUACUUAAAUGUUGAAAAUGGAAAUAAGGUAUAGAGAAAAAAAAAAUCAGUAAUUUUUUUGGUAUUUUUUUAAAAAAAUAUCAUUGUAUAAACAUUGGCUAUUGUUGGAUUGCUGGAAAAAAUAUGAUCGGAGAGCCUAGCGCUCGCCACGUGGACGAUUUAAAAAAAUUUGGACGCAGGGCUGACGUCGACGUGAUGUCAGGACGCUGACAUCAGCCUUGCCCUCGGGCCAGCCCAGUCUGCUGGGUCCCACUAUUUGCCUGGGCUUGCUUUUGUUGCUGGAAACCACUUUUUUGUCCAAACCCCCUAGCUCGAGUCCAUCCUUAGCUGCUGGAAAUGCUCUAAGUAGAUCUCUCUUCUCUUACUCCCACUCUGUCUCUAUUCUUUAAUCAACCUGUCUCUCAUGAAACUUUUGUCGAACACAUAAUGGUGAAGUGGCAGCCUUCUCCGAAUUCCAGCAGCCAAAUUUGUGAUGAGGCUUCCAAAUUUAAUGCCUUUUGUAAUUUUUUAGAUAGUUAACACAUUUAUUCAUUUUUAACCAUAAAAAUCCAAUAUGUUUAGAAAGCUUCCUGAGAAACAAGGAAAAGAAGAAUAAAUUCUUGUUUUUCAUUUCUGGGUAAAGCCAAGAAGCAAGAAAAAGAAGAAUAAAUUCUUGUUUUUCAUUUCUGGGUAAAGCCAAGAAGUUCAAUAUUUGAUAAUUGUUAAUAUAUUUUGUGAGUUGUUGAGAGAUGAGAUUUUGGGGCAAAGUUAAGAAGAAGGAAAAGAAAGAAAAAGACAGGACGUGGAGGGCGUGAGAAAGAAAUAGAAACAAAAAAGGACGUUAACUUUGUCGUUAGUUGGAUUAGGGUUUUUUUUUUCUUUUUCUUUUUUAAGUAAGAGUAAAUUGGGUUUUUGUUUGAAGGAUGAUGUGUCAAUUUUUAAGUUCCUUAUAUUAAAUUUUAAUGAGGUGUCAUCUAUAUAUAUAAAGCAAAAGGCAGAGAAUGGUGAAACAUUCAAAAUACCAGAAAAUGCCCUUGGUUAAUGCACAUUAAGAAUUAAAAUUAUUAAUUAAAUGAGGAUAAUAUGGUAAAUUCAUAAUUUUUCAUAUUAAAAAAAUUAAAAUUAAAAGAAAAUUCAGAUAAUGGAUCCUAUUUUUAUGGAACACAACUAUCCAUUAUCUUUUUUAAUUCGAAAAUAAAUUUAAAUUUUUUUAAAAAAGCCUUUCGCAGGCGCAGAAGCGCGUGCAGAGAGGCUAGUAUGAAUAACAAAGUAAAGUAAAUCAUGACAGAGAAAAUCAGAGCAAAAGAUCCGGAUACUACAGAAAGCUAUAUGUCUGCCGACGCUAUUAAAAGCAUGCUCCUUUCACAGUGUUUUUGACAGGCUAUAAAGAUUCUUUAUAGCGGUGUAUUCUUUAUAGCAUGUUUUCAUUGCCAUUGCAUUUGUUUAAUAUAUGGGAGCUUUAGUAAUACACCCAAAAUAGGAGCUGAAAUUAUAAAAAAAUCCUACAUGAAAUUCAAUUUAGAAACACACCCAAAAACCCAUUUAUUAUAUAUGAAAUGAGUGUUGAAGUUACUAUAAAUUACAUUUUUGCCAUUGAUUAACUUAAAACAAGCCCAACACAAAAAAUACUUAAAAAAAUCCAAAACAAACCCUGCAAGCUCUAAGUACAUUGUUAAUACCAUGACAUAAAAGUACAGUGUUAAUACGAUGUCAUAGAAGUACAUUGUUAAUACCAUUUCAUAGAAGUACAUUGUUAAUACCAUGUCAUAGAAGUACAUGUCAUAAAAUUACAUUGUUAAUACCAUUCCAUAGAAGUACAUUGUUAAUACCAUUCCAUAGAAGUACAUUGUUUAUACUUUGUCAUAGAACUAUCUUGUUAUUACUAUGUCAUAGAACCAUGUUGAGUCCUUUCCAAAGGCAUAAACUUCCCAGCAUCACUGAUCAACAUUGUCCUGCCAGCUCCAACAAUGAAGAAUAUUAUUAAUAACAAGAUACCUCUACAAAAAAAAAAAAAGUACACUAUUAAUACUACGUCAUAGAAGUACAUUGUUAAUACUAUAUCGUAGAACCAUCUUCCUAAUAAAAAUCACAUUCUGCAUAUCAUAAACUUCAAGUGAAUGGUAUGGAGUUGUACACUUUUAUCUUACCUAUUAUGCAAAUGAAAUGAUGUAGUUGUUAACUUCUAAAUAAUCCUCAUGAUACUGAUGGCUUUCCAAUUCGAGCAUAGGGUGCUAACAUGCCAACCAAAGCAAUGUCAACAGCUAUUCCAACUAAAAGAUCAGCAGCGUACAACUCAAACUCAGCCUAGAAAUCCUUUCCCAUUUUCUGAAAAUGUUGCACAACAAGAAUCUAUGACUAUCUACAUUACAAAAGAGUCAAGGAAGAGAAAUUUCUUCAAUAUUCAACAAGAUCAACAACUAUCAAAUGUAACGGUCCAAUUUGAAGGCAAGGUAUAUUUAAUGGAAUUCAUAGGACUAUCACCAAUCCAAACAAUGACCCACAAACUCAAUUACUGAUAUUUACAGUGAAAAAUGCAGAGCUACAAUUCUUUCAAGAGAACUAUUAAUUUACAGUCCCUUGACUUGAAACACAAAUUACUCAAAAACAUUAUUUACCAAAAAGAAAGAUCACGAAAACAAACCUCUGUCCCAACUUUAAAAAGAAAGGAAGGAUAAGCCAGCAUACGAUUUCGUAGCAUAGAGCAAUACUUCAUCAAAAAGCCCAGUGGCCAAAUUGACCCCUGAAAUUCGAAAAUAUAUAUAUAUAUAUAAAUUAGAAACCCAAUAAGUAACUUAGCAAAAACCAUAUAUCUGAAGAUUUUUCAAUAGAAAUGGAGACCAACAUACAAACAAUAAUUGGACAAUACUAGAAAAAACCAUGAAUAUGGAACCAUAACAGGAAACCCAAAGUCGUAUCAAUACCUGAUAUGUCUUUCAGGAACUUGACUCAAUAAAGCAUUAAUAACUAGAGAGUUAUCGAGGUACAAAGGCAAAAGCUUGCAAACAAAUAAAUAGUACCAACAACAACAAAAAAGUAAACAUUUCCUUACUAGAACCAUUGCAUCAAAAGGCAACCCUGCACCAGCGGAAGGAGCAACAAAAGAUGUGCUAAUUCCAAUUUUAUCAUAUGGGGAAUGAAGAGAUACUCCCAAAAAACCAGCAGGAGGUCUAGUACCAGAAGCAUUUGUGGAAUUCUCAUUCACUUCCCCAUUAGUUGUAGGCCUGAGCUGAGUAUGGACUUUCACAUCAUUAUCUGUUGCCCAGAAGAUUAUGAAAACAAAUCAAUCAGGAUGAAGCAUUUGGUUAGGGGUGCAUGUCCCAAUUUAGGACCAUUACAGAAUUCCUUGUCCUUCAUUCAAGUAAGUCGGAAACUAUCCCCUUUUCUUUGCAAAAUUGAUAGAUGAGGGAUGGGCAACAAAAACAAGCCACAAAAUUGUUCCCUCCCACAACGAAACUCAGAAAUCCUGAUUAAAAAUUCUCACACUACAAACGCAAAGUAUCUAAUGAGAAAUAGGUACCAUACCAGCAAAUUGCAUGCUUCCAGACCCAUUGUUCCUUUGAGUGUGGUGGUUGUCUUCCUAAUAGAUGAAAUCCAAGAUUACUUUAACUUCAUGCAUAAAUAUCAUCUAACCAUCACAUACAACAAAGGGCCAAAAUCCAUCACAUAUGAGCAGACAUAAUGAAAGGAAAUUCUUACUUUAGUGUUGCCAUCACUGCCAUCUGUCAAACCAUCAAUAUUUUGUUCCAAACUGCACAUGGUCAUAGAAUCAAAAUUUAGAUUGGCUACAUCCAGAGACAACAUCAUAAAACUUACUGGAAGCCACUGCUUGACAAUUAGUAUGGUCUAGGGCAGAUGACAAAUAGUUUUUCUAUUUUUCUAUUUUGAAAAAGCCCAUCUUUCACAGCAAUGUAGCUGCAAAGUAAGUCUACCCUGCUACACAUGUUUAGAUGCACACAAAAGUAUAGAUAUAUGACCUAUGAGAAACAGGUACACACACAUGCUGUAAAACGCAGGCAACAUAUAUCAGGGAUAACUCCCUUAAUAUAGUUGUCAUAAUUUAAAGUGAAGUCAAACUUCCCGGGAAAGAGACCUAUCUAACUAAAAUUAGAUCUAAAUAACAUCAAUGAGACCUCACAAUCAAGCUAGAUAAAAAAAAUCUUCAAAAAUUAUUGAAUUAACAAUCCUUUAAAAGACGUGUACGAUAUCCAUCUAAUCCUUGCUAGUGACAAAGCUCUGAACCCAGAGUAGGCAAAGGGUUCACAAAAACAAGAGAUACCCAGUGAGUCAACUCGAAACACAGCUUCAAUUAUGAAUUACCAAGGUCCUGAGCAAAUCUAAACCAAUCCAAUCUUCCAUUAAAUUGGUGAGAUGAUGGAAUAAGACCAAACCGAUGAAUAAUUUAACACUCAAUUCAAUAACUGGGGAGCUAAAGAACAAAAUCACAAAACAGAGGCCAAAUUUCAGACCAUCAAUUAAACUUUCACUCAAUUUUCUCUUCAUCCAAACAGAUGGUGGUAUCUAAUUUGUUCAAAUCCGCACUUCACCAAAUAGAUCCGCACAAAAAAUCAACAUAGUUACAACAGUUCAUCACAAAUCCAUACGUACAAUCGUGUGAUCUAUAUAUCAGUUCCGACACAGAAACAUCAAAUUCUAACAGUAUUAACCACUUCCAUAAAAAUCAGAUCCAAAAACCCAUUAAUCUAGAAACAUAAAUCGAAACCAAAUAUCAACAAUUAAAUGCAAAUAUAGAUAUACGAAAUUAAAGAUUAUGAGUCGGAGAGAGAGAGAGAGAGAGAGAGAGAGAGAGAGAGAGAGAGAGAGAGAGAGAGAGAGAGAGAGAGAGAGAGAGAGAGAGAGAGAGAGAGAGAGAGAGAGAGAGAGAGAGAGAGAGAGAGAGCAAACCAGAUUAGAAUGAGAGCUAGAGGAAAGGGCCUCGAGCUUUGUAAGUCAUCCGUGGAAAGCAGAAACCGGAAGAAAUUGGAAGCAUUUGGAUCCAGAGAAACAGAGUUGUGUAAGAAACGAAAGUGAAAAUUUCAUAACGGAGAGAAAUAACCGAAAGGUCAAAACCGUAAUCUAACAUAGUAAAUAAAUCCAAAAAUUGACAGCUGUCGAUUUUUGGGUUUAUUUUGAGUGUGUUUCUAUGUAUUAAAUAGUGUAAGGUAUAUUUAUAGUUUCAUGUCUAGGAAUGGGUUUUUCACUAAUUUUUUAUUAAUAUAUCUCUUCCAUCUUUUAAUUUGGCUGAAAGAAACAACACUAUAUAUAAGCACCACAAGAAUGGAAACGCACAUCUUCUACUAAAUAAGUUGCUGCCAAUAUUUUUCCAUUAUGAGAUAAACUAAGUAGAUCAUAGUGCACAGGAGCACUAUCCAAAUCAAGUGUAAUUGGAAACACAUAACUGCUAACACAUAAUACGUAACUGUAUUUUCCUUUUCAUUUUAGGAUAACACUGAUUACCUUCUAAUGUGGAUAAAAUAAUCUUCUAUGCUCUUGCUCUUCAUCUUCUUCGAGUCUUGUAUUUCCUCAACUACAGCAUUAUGUAUUAGUUAAAAGGGUUAGUUACAUUUUUGGUAAUUGAGAUUUGGCUCAAAAUCAAAUUUGGUAACUGUAAUUUCAAUUUUUCUGAUUUGGUCAUUGUACUUGCAGCUGUUAACAAAUCAAGUCUAAUGUCUCAAUUAUGUCAAUUUCAUUAAUUAAAAAAUAUUUAAUAUUAAGUUAAAAAUAAUUAACUUCAAUAUAAAAUUUAAGUAUAAUAUAUUUGAAAAGAAAAUUAAUAAGAUUAAAACUUAAAUUUAAAAAAAUUACCAAUAUAUAUAUAUAUAAAAUAUUUAACGGUGAGUGAUCACAAUAUCUUGGACUCCUGUGGUCAAAGAAAUUGGGACUAUAUAUAUAUAUAUAUGCCCCCUCAUCACUAUUGAAAUGAAAUGAAUAAUUGGUGGACCAAAAUUAUACUGGAGCAAAAGUUAGGAAACCAUUUCUAUCAAAAAUUCUAUUUUAUUUGAGUAUGUAAAAAAAACAUGUAAGAAGAUACAACAAUUGAUCUAAAGCUAUUGAACUGUACUAUUGCAAGUUAAAAUGCAAUUCAAUUCAAUAGAUGUAAAAAUAGUUUAGCAACCUUUUUUAAAAUUUUUUUGGGUAAAAACCAUGAGGUGUUCCCACACCCGAAGGGUAGAAUUAAUCCCUACUCGAGGUUCGGCUUGCCCCUAACUGCAAAAUACUUCCAACAAAUUUCGAACCAUUACCAUUUAAGUACUAAGUAGCUCGCUAGCUAAAAAUAGCAGUUUACCAACCGCAUCACGCUUGUGAUUGUCCAACAACCAUUCUGAAUGCUCUGAAAGACAUGAAAUAAUACAAAAGGGCUAUCUUUAUUAGACAAUGAAAAGCACGUGGUAGAGCAGUUUCAAUAAAUGAGGGUGCGUUCCAUCAACAAUGAUGCGCUGAACCUCCAUACUUGAAGCUUAGUGAGAAAAUAUAUUAGAAACUACAAAGGUUUGGAGUGUUAGGCAGGGCCUUGCAAAUGUCAGUCAACGUGAGAGUGAGGGAGUCAGUGGUGGUGAAGCCAGAGGAGGAAACGCCAAAACGGGCGCUGUGGAUAUCGGACUUGGAUAUCGUGAUUUCGGCAACUCACCUUGGAAGUGUUUACUUCUACAGGAGGCCAAACGUUCAAAACAACUGUGUCUUGGAUUCGGAGGUGCUCAAGUGCUCCCUUGCCAAGGCCCUCGUGCCCUUCUACCCGGUGGCCGGCCGCCUGAAGCUGAACGAUGAGGGACGUAUCGAGAUGGAUUGCAAUGCAGAGGGAGUGCUGUUUGUUGUGGCGGAGACUGCCUCGGUCCUCGAUGAUUUCGGGGACUUUGCGCCGACUCUUGAGUUCCGGAAGCUCGUUCCUGCUGUUGAUUAUUCCGCUGGGAUGUCCUCUUAUCCCCUCUUGGUGGUACAGGUAUUCAGAGAAAGAGAGGAGACAUUUUUUUCACUCCUUUCUUUUAUUUCUCUUGCUCAUAAUAUCAUUCGGGACAAUUCUUGAACCUGAUAUGACUUAAACUUACAAAGUAUGGUUCUGGUUUUACUCUGUUUAUGCAUCAGGUCACAUACUUCAAAUGUGGUGGAGUGUCACUUGGUGUUGGCCUGGAACAUCGUGUAGCAGAUGGCUUUUCUGGUCUCCACUUUGUAAAUACAUGGUCUGAUAUCGCUCGAGGUCUUGACCUUACAAUUCCACCAUUCAUCGACAGGACAUUACUUCGUGCCCGAGACCCACCACAGCCUGCAUUCGAUCACACUGAAUACCAACCUGAUCCACCCAUUAAAACCGGUACAAAAGCUGUAGGUGAUGAGAGCGCAACGGUAUCC